CUUCUUCUUUUUCUUCUUUUUUUCUAUAACCCGGUCUCUUUAUUGAUGACUAAGGGAAGCAAAAGAGCUCAUCUAGCCAUGUCUCAGAGAAACAUGUUGCUAUGUUCAUGACAGUGGGCCAUAGAAAUCAGUUCUAAUGUGUGAUAACCUCAAUUUUAAUGGUCUCAAAGUACAAUACUAAUCAAUAUGAUUUACUAGAGAGGGCACUAAUAGAGUGAAAAAAAGGUGGUAGAAAGGAGACCAAUAGAUUUAGAAGGAAUAUCACACAAGGAGAAGAAAAUAACUAUUCACCUGACCUAAGAAAUACGUUUAUUCAUUAAAAGCAUUUGUUUCUCACUCUUCACCUGUAGUUGACUCCCACAUUUGUUUAUUUGAUUUGUGAGCAUGUCCACAUCAUAUUAUAAUUUGAGCACUGUAGACUUUGCCUCUCCACUUUUUUCAACAGUUUUCUUUGUUUCCAGAUUUUCAUCUGAAUUAUGGAUCAUAAUAGUACGAUUGCUUUUUUUCAUUAUAGUAUGACUGCUUAUCUGAUACCCUUUGACACAAUAGAAAGGAAUGUAUUAAUAACAAAAUGACUAAAUGUAAUUCAGAUAACAAAAGAUGCAAAAUAGAGUUAAAGAAAAGUAUAAUUAAGGUUAGAAGGUGGAAGAAACUCUUAUUGAACAGAAAAGUAUAAUUAAGGUUACCUGGCCUGAAGAAGCAUGGUUUCUUUUAUAAAAAAAUUGUCAUAUCUGAUUCAUAAACUCUGGAUGAGUCACAUAUUUUAAUACAUGAUAUCUCAUUCUCAAAAGGACUGUCCUAAAAGGAAAAGCAAACUAUUGAUCUAUUUUGGUAUCUGGAGGUUUCUUUCAGGAGAAGUGUACUGAUUCUCCAAAUCCAGAUUCAACAAAUUUGUACACAUCUGUGACCCCAAGACAUUCUCCAAAUAAGACCCUAAAGAUUAAAAUAGCAUGUCUUUCUUAACUAGAACUGAUUCCAAACUAAAUAAAUCUCUAUCUUGGAUAUUUAACUAUAUAUGAUGAAAAUCUAAGAAAAAUUGGAGAAAAAGUGCUUUACCAACUUAAUUAAAGUCAUCCAUAGUCAUCUAAGACUUCGACUAAAUCCCCAGCUGAAUCAACAUCACUUAUGUGCAUUUUGAUAAAGUAUACUAGCAUACAAAAUGUCUUGAUUAAAGCAUCAUACGUGACCUUCUUACAACUUGUAAUUAGAUAUUUAUUGGUUUUUAGUAGGAAUGUCUGCUUCAUUUGUAAACUUUUUGUUUCUCUGGUCAUCUCCUAGAAAAGAGUCCAAAGCUCUUUAUUUACUAAGAAUAUAGUCAGGUAAAUCUACAUGCAUGUCAUUUACUAACAGACAAUAGAUGAUUCAAUGCUUCGAGCAAUAGUUGGCGAGACAAGCCACUUGUGGGGAAACUUACUGUUAAGAUUUCUCAGGUUGCUAAGCGUCUGGAGAAGUUUAAGACGACUAUAUUCACUCAGAUGAGCAUGCUUGCCAUUAAACACGGAGCAAUAAACUUAGGUCAGGGUUUCCCAAACUUUGAUGGGCCUGAGUUUGUCAAGGAAGCUGCGAUUCAGGCUAUAAAAGAAGGGAAGAAUCAAUAUGCAAGGGGUUAUGGUGUUCCUGAACUUAAUUCGGCCAUUGCAGCCAGGUUCAAGAAAGACACUGGUUUAGAAGUAGAUCCUGAGAAGGAAGUGACUGUGACAUCGGGGUGCACUGAAGCAAUUGCUGCAACCAUGUUGGGGCUGAUAAAUCCUGGUGAUGAGGUGAUAAUUUUUGCCCCAUUUUAUGAUUCGUACGAGGCAACCCUAUCUAUGGCUGGUGCUAAAAUAAAGUCUAUCACUCUUCACCCUCCCGAUUUCGCUGUCCCUGUUGAUGAGCUCAAGUCUGCAAUCACAAAGAACACACGAGCUAUAAUGAUAAACACGCCACACAAUCCUACUGGAAAAAUGUUCAGCAGAGAGGAAUUGGAGCUGAUUGCCUCUCUCUGCAUAGAAAAUGACGUCUUAGUCUUCACAGAUGAGGUUUAUGACAAGUUGGCAUUUGAAGCUGAGCAUAUCUGCAUGGCAUCUCUUCCAGGAAUGUAUGAGAGGACAGUGACCAUGAAUUCUAUUGGGAAGACAUUCUCCUUGACUGGAUGGAAAAUUGGAUGGGCUAUAGCACCACCACAUCUGACAUGGGGUUUCAGGCAGGCACACUCGUUCCUCACGUUUGCCACGUCGACUCCGAUGCAAUGGGCAGCUUCAGUAGCUCUGAAGGCACCUGAUACUUAUUUUGAGGAAUUGAAGAGGGAUUACUUGGUGAAGAAAGAGAUACUUGUGGAGGGAUUAAAAGCUGCAGGUUUCAUAGUGUACCCAUCAAGCGGGACGUACUUUGUUGUGGUGGAUCAUACCCCAUUCGGGUAUGAAAAUGAUGUGGCCUUCUGCGAGUACUUGAUCAGGGAGGUGGGUGUCGUCGCCAUUCCAACCAGUGUAUUCUACCUCGACCCGGAGGAGGGAAAGAAUUUAGUAAGAUUUACCUUCUGUAAGGAUGAGGACACUCUGAGGGCUGCAGUUAAGAGGAUGAAGGAAAGGCUCUACAAGAGAUGAGUUUCUUAUGCUGUGCUUUCAAUGAUGUGCUCAACACUCUGAUUCACCCAGGGUUUUUGGGAAAGGAUAAAUUGGCCUUGUUGCCUGGAUCUUGGGAUUGUUCUCCCUUGCUGUUUCUGAACUGUCCUGUUGAACUGUGAGCUGUUUUAACUUUUCAGAUACGAUGCUUUUCAUUUUAAUCUUUGUCUCCUUGGUUUAGUUCUCUACCUUUCUCUUGCCCAAUCUCAAGGAAAUGUGAUUCUGACAUACAUAGUUGUCCUGAUACAUGAUGCUAACCUACUUUGGCCUAAUUCAUUCACUCAUUUUAGAUGCAAAGUCGUGAUAUUUGAUAUUUGAGCCAUCAUAAGGUUGUGAUUCACAUAUACUAUGUCAUCUUGGUUAUAUUGGGCUUUGAUGUUAUAAUUUGAUCUUGGUUAUGCUGUGUUUUGACGAUGAUAUCAAGCUCUUAAGUAAAAAAAUUAGUCUCGUAUCGGAAGUGGAUAGGAUUAUAAUUCAAGGUUUGAUGAGUGUACUAUUAUUAGUUUCAAUUUAAAUAUUUUAAUUAGUGAUUUAAGUAAAAUUAAGUUGAUGGGUGGUUUAUUAUUAUAUGGACUUGGUGAAGUAUCUAAUAUAUAUGGAUCUACGCAGGUUCAAAUUCUUUGAAACAUGCUUAGAGAAUUUUUUUAUAGUGUCGCAUAAGAUUGUUACGUUUCGAAGUCAAUUAAAUGUCAAUAACGUUUCCAUGCUUUCCUCGACCAUCAAUUAGGAUAACGAUCGACUGAGUCAGCAUCCUGAUUGACAAUACAGGAGCACUAAGUCGGCAUCCUAGCUGGCAUAACGCUAAUUAUCACAUCGGUCGAAUGCUAAUUAUCAUAUCGGUCGAAUGAGAUCAAAAUAUCAGCCACAUGGCUGACAAACACAAGACCAGCGAGCCGGCAUCUUAAUUGACGUAACGCUAAUUAUCAUAUCGGUCGAAUGAGAAUGAAACGUGGGUCAAUUGCAGAGUGACAUAUCUGCUGAGUGAUGAUUAGAUGUGACAGACAUGAUCUAAUGCGGCUGUUUGUCAACUCAAGCGAUGGUCUAAUCAUAAUCCUAAUUUGCCCUUUCUAUAUUUUGUUCUCAAUUCCCUUGUUUUUUUGCGACCUGCCUAUUGAAUUCCUCUUCAAAGGAGCUGCUAAUCUGUGCUUAAAUGGUUCAGUCCGGUAUCAAAUGACACCCAAACCCCCAUCAACACCGCUCAUGCGACAUGAUCUCUCUCUCUCUCUCUCUCUUAGUCAGUCUUCGUGUCCAAUAUCAUCAUUGUUAAUAAUAGCAGCAGAGGCCAGGGCUUGGUCAGUGUCUUUUGCAUCGUCACUGGAGCCAAAAAUGGCGAAUCCAUCGGAUCGAAUCUACUUCUACAUUUCAUUUAUUUACAGCUCAUCCUUACCUCUUUUGCUUACUGCUUUUCUAUCCACAUAUGGAUGAUAGAAGUAUACAACCCAUCUGCUAACAGGCAUCAUACUAUAACCUGCCAUAUAUUUCCUAAUCCCAAGAAGCUUGUUAGUUGAUAUCUAAUCAAAUUUUCACAUAAGACUAUCUCCUAAGAAAUUGCUGUGAGAUUAUGAGAAUAUUGUAUUUUGGCCAUAUGUGCUUAGAACAAUGCUUCAUUAAGGCUUCCUGGAGUCACAAGAUUGGCAUUAACGACCACAUAACAAUCAUUAUGAAUCAACAAAGACAAGAUCCUCAGGAUGCUGCAGUCAUGCAUACAACAUGAACUACGUUGGAGACGCCUGGAAAAUAUCCUAUACUGUCCAAUCUUACCUCUUCUUUGCAAGAGACCAUUCUUUGACAAUACUAGUCUAGAAUUCUCUGGACCAAUUCAAGUGCAUGAGCAUUUACAUACAAAUAACAAAUGGAAACUAAUCAUAGAAAUCGACAACACCAUAAAAUGCCUACCAGAAGCCACAAACUGGUUACUGUGGCUGCCUGGAAGAAGUACAAUGUGAAUUGAAUCCUGAUUAGAAUCCAACUCAGUAGCUUUGCUUGCUAAAAUUUACGGUACUACACAAACACUUCUUUUUUCAACAUCAAUACUAAAAAGAGUCGCUACUGUUUUUUGCUGAUCUUGACUUUUUAUUGGUGACAACUGGCAGCUUGAGGUCUAUGAAACUAGAAGUUAAACAUCUAUAUAUUAAACAUAGCCUUUCAAGAUCUACUGACACACGAAAACGUUAUGUAUCCACAUCUACAUGAAUUUAUAGAGAUGAAACAUUGACAGGCAAAUGGAGUAAGAAACUGAAAACAUUGUAGCAUAAUGCAAGAUGUUAAUCAGACAAGACCUGAAUUACAAAUAUAUGUCAAAAGAUCAGUAAUUGAAUGGGAUCCUGGAUCCCUAGUCAUAUAACGAUGAAGUCUCACUAUUUCUGCAUUGAUAUGCUCUGAAGACUUGAUCUAAGUGUAGCCUGGAAACCUGCCUGAAACCCUUGUGUGUAUGCUGCAUUCUUCAGGCUCAUCUGCAAUGAUUUUGUGAUAUCAAAUUGCAUGCUAAAGACAAAAAAGAUGUAUUACAGGCUUCGCAUCCUAAAUUUUAUUUUCAGGCCUAAAUGACACAAACAUCAUUUAAAGCUCCUGAUGGCUAGUUCUAUAGAUCCAUCAGAUAAUGCAGCAGCUACCAGAUGCAUUUAGAUUUCUAUUGAUUCCUCUUUGUCAGUUUCUUCUGCAAAAAGUUACAACUCUGCUUAUUUUAAUGUUCAUAAUUACUAAAUGUGCAAUAAUUAUUCCAUGAGUGAUUGAAGUAAAUCAAACUGCUUCUGCUAGUACUUUCUGUUUGUUGUCUUGGCUAAGAUGAAAACAAUAGUAAUGACUUUUUCGAAAGGUGAUUGUCACAGUUAAAAGACGGUUGGCUGUUUGAUUAGUAUAAAAUUAACUUUCUUUACUUAAGAAACAUCAAAAUCAACAUAUGUGAUCUGAAACUAGUGAGCAAAAAAGCAGAAAUGGUUUCAGGCACUGGACAAGUUGUCAUUGUCCUAAGACUACCCACUAGUAUGGUUAUCAUGCUUAUCACUUACCAUCAUGUGCUCCAAGUCAGAACUGACACGUCUUUUGACAACAUCUGAAACUGAAGGUGCAAUUUGUGGAUCAUUUAGAUCCUUAGUUAUCUGUGAAGGUGAUUGAUAAUGGAUGUAUCAGAACUUGAUAUGAUAUUCGUAGAUGGAAAAGGCAGAAUGAAAUACACCAAAUUACUUCGGCAACCUCGUUCAGAAAGGCUGUGGAUGUUUUAUCCAUGAUUUCCUUCACGAGUUUCUCAAUAUUGGUAGCUUCAGCCAAUGGAUCUAUUGAGCUUUGAACUUUCUGCAACUUCUCUUUUUGUAAAGCAGCUGGACUUUUGGCUUCUCCUGCAAGUACAAUAUGAAACCAUGCCAGAUUUAGAAGAACAAGGGACCCCAAGAACAAGAAUAUGAAUAUCCACAAACAUGAAAUGUGGAAACUUCACAGUCUUUUUGUGCCUGUGUUAACAUAGAAUUUGCUUACUUUCCAGCACAAGUGAGAUACUUCGACAUAUAAAUGGACUCUUCUACAAUCUAUACAUUUGUGUUGAUAUAUUUAACAGAUUGUGAAUAAAUGAUACCUAUACAAAACUUUUUAGGGCAUGCUGAAUGGUAGCAAUAUUUAGAUAAUUGGGACUUCUAAUUUACUCAAUGUUAUUUGAAGUUCCUCUUGUAAACAAUUUGUCGAUCAUAUGGAUGGUUGUUAUACACUUAUACUUAUUAUGAGACCAUGGAUUUGUUUGUUUAAAUUGUACAUAAGAUAAAAUUACAAUAAAAGGAUAAACAUGUAUCAAUUCCAUGGCAGUUCCUAUUUUCAUGAGAUCACCUGCUGAUAUUUAGGUAUCCUACAUCAUGACCACGGUUUGUAAAUUUGCACUAUCUUGUCACUAUCAUGGUCUAAAACUGCGGAUGGUAAUCAGGCUGUAGAAAAUUAUGAAACCAGAGAAAAUGGCAAUCAAAGAAUAUCAGCUAGAUCUUAACUGAUUUGGCUCAUCAAGGCUGAUUCCAUCCAAUCUGAUCCAACAAUCAAAUUUCACUAGAUUGAAUCCUGAGAUCCAGGUCAAUGACAGUCCCAAAUUCUUAAGCUUUACUAAUAACAACUACAGAAAUGAAGCUGCAACAUUAAAAUACUUAAGAGAGAAUAUAAUUAUCCUUCAAAUUACUUAACUGGUCAAACAACCAUAACUUGGAACAAGUAGACCAAAACAAGUUCACUUGGUUGCAUUUGAAUUUUUGUUUCCUAGGCAAUUUUAUGAUACAUCAGUUGUGAGAAAUCCAGAAGUACAAGGGAAAAAAAGACAGGAACUUUGAACCUUGUAAAAGGUCAUAUGUUAUGCAAAGUCCAAGAUGAAAUUAAAUUACGAAUUGUUUACAGUAAGAAGACAUAAUAUGUAAGUAAAAGUUUCUAUGGAAAAUGUUAUUUAUCACAAAUCAUGAAUUACUAACGGAAGCUCACCAGCAAGCUUUGUUGGCUUCUUCACUGUAAGCCCAUCAUUUCCAGUGGGAAUAGAAGUAACAGCAUUUUCUACUUUAUCUGGAAGAGUGGGAACUCCAGAUGGAGCAAGAGAAGCAAGAUCAGGUGGAUUGUCCUUGCCUACCGCUGGAUUAGCCUACUACAAGAAAUUAUUAUCAUGUACUCCUUUUAAAAGAUAUUAAUAUGAAAUUUCUGCUUUACUAAGCAUGUGUUGAAUCACCUCCAAAUCCACAUAUGAGGGUUGUCUUCCUAUUGAAAUCAGAAACUUGUCCAAGCUGCUUGCACUUAUAGCUGUUCAAGUAAACAUGGAGGUAAUAGCUAUUUUAGCACCAAACAGAAAAUGAUGAUAGCAACUUCUGAUAAAUAACAACUAAAAGGAUAGUCCAGUGCAUGAAGCUCCCAAAGCCAACAUGAGGUUUGUUUAAAAUUUAAAUAACUAAUGGGGAGAAGGAAAAUGUAAGUUGAUUUCUGUAUGUCAUGCAAACAAGGAAAGGAAGAUUCUGCUGCAUCUAGAAAACUAAAACAUAAAAUAAAAAUGUAUUAGUGGUGUUCAUAUUGCAAUAUAUUAAAAAACUCCACUGGAUGAAACACUAUUGCUUAAUAGUUAAAAGAGAAAAUGGCAAGAAGAUUUAAUCAUUUAGCACCGAGCACAUUGUGAUCAUGAAUAUAUCAACAUAUACAUAUACAUACAUACAAUCACAUACAUAUACAUGUGAGCUUGAAAAGCUAUAGCACCAAAGUGAUUCAACAAAUAGGACAUCAUCAACAAUUAAAACCAGACAUGAUAUAAAUUAUAUCUAAUACAAAGCUUAUAGAAACUAGAAAGCUAAUGGAAUUAAAUAAGGAGCUCAAACAAAAUAGAAAUCUAUUUUAUUUACUGAAGUUACUUAUCAUGUGUAAGUAUAUUAGCCCCAAGAUUACCUCUGAUGUUUUGAUGACAACAAAACAUCAACCUAUUUAAUUUGAUCUGAAAUCUCACAAUUUUAGGACCACACUGUGCCAGAUUGCACUUCAUGUUGUUAAGAUCAACCUGAAAGAGAAGCUAAUCAUCUGCUAAGGUGGACUGCAAUAGCUCAUUCCAUGUGUAAUGUCUCUUCUGUGAUGUCAAGUGCAACAUGUCUAGGUGAAUCACAUGGUGCUCAAAUUUAGUCAUUAAACCCCUAACAGUGAUUAUUCGGGGAAGGCUUUGAACUUCAGAGUACUUGUGGGCUUGGAUGACAAAUCUGAAGAACUGGCUAUCCCCUUUCUAAGAUACUCUACUUGUAUAUCUUGAAUGACCCUAUAUAAAGGUUUGUAUUGCUGAGAUGAGAAUAUUAAGAUGAAUAUGUGAUGUUACUAUAAAAGAUAGGAAAAAAUAUUUUUAUUCGUAAACAACUAGGUAUCGCUUCGAUAGAGAAUGAGAUAAGAGAGAAUCGUUUAGGAUGGUAUAGGCAUAUGCUUAGAAGACUUAUAGAUACAGUAAUUAAAAAAAGUAAAAUGAUUAACAUUAGUGAUAAGAGGAGAGAUAGAAAAAGACUUAAAAAGAUUUUAAUAGAAAUUAUAAAUAAAUAUUUAAAUACUCUAGACUUAACUAAACAUAUUAUUUUUACAAAUAUCAAUAGUGACAAAAGAUUAAUGGUAGUCGACCCCCAAUAGUUGAGACUUACGACUUUGUUAUUGUUGUUGUAAUCACCCUGAACCUUAACUUGCACUUAUUUGAGAAUUUUAUAUCAUAUUCCAAACUCUUAUUUAUUCUAGAAAUUGUAAGGAUUAGCUCUUGAACUUUGAGAAAGAACAAUGGAGUAAAGGCAUGGUCUUUGCCGAUGAAAAAGACAAUUGACCAUAAAUUGCUAGAGACCAGAAUGAGGAUAUCCAAAGAGUGACCAUCCACUGGUUGGGUUGAGCCUUUAUGAAAAUUGGCCAUGCAAUGGCUUAUGCAAUCUCAAUAUAGAACAUAUGUGUAGAGUAUGCAACCAUGUGUCUAACAUUUGAAUGCUGUAAGUAUUAUUGUUAUAGAAGAAAUAGGCCAGGGUAAUGUUAAAAUUAUCUCUCAAACCUUUAUUAAAUUUUUUUUUGUAACAAAAUUCUUCAUGAUGAGCAUAAAUGCCUUCCAAUGUCUAAAUAAAUCCUUAAUUUGACCAAAGAUUAUUACUCUUAAUAAUAUGAACUUGAUUAUAGGUACUUAAUUAAGUGUAUUUUGAAUAAUUAAAAAUUCUUUAAUCUCCAACGUGGCACUAUAUGAAGCCGCCACUAGCAAAUUAUUAUAGCUCUUUAGAAUAUCGAAUAAACACAAGUAUAGAGGAUGAGUCAUAGAAAUACAUAAUGUAGUAGAGUGAUAUGAAAAGGAUGCGGCGAGGAGUUGUUGAUGUCAAAAGCUUGACACUUGUUUUUAAUCUGAAGGGAUCAUUCCAAUGUAGCUGUCAGCAAGAUGGCCUUUUCGUAAAAAUUAAAAUAUCAUUUCCUUUUAUUUGUAGGGGAAAAAACACAAAAAAAAGCUUGCCAUACAUGGACUUGAUCAAUGUCGACACAAAAUAACUAACAACCCAGUGAAGAUCAUAGGCGCGGUCCUCAAAGGAAACUCCACAUAGAAUAGCGGAUCUGGAGGUCAAAUACAUAAAUAUAAUUGAAUCAAAUAAACUAAAGAAAAUAUGUAAAAAGAGUGGCCCAAUGUACGAGGCUCUCGAUAAUGAAGAUUCCAAAGCAGAUCAAUAUAUGGAGUCAUGCCGGGUAAACAGAGAGGUCAUUUCCAUGACUGCAAACUUGGUCAUCCAGACCAUAAAGAAGCAAUCUUAUGGUGGUGCUAAGGGUUGUCCUCUUCUACCCCACUCUAUUUUUCCAGUUACAAAUCCCUUAUAACUAAAACUGAUGAGUUAUUGAGCACUUUAAUAUAUUAGAUUGCCCAGGAAAUUUAUGAGACACUAACUGUUAUGUAGCAAUUGAAAACCUCAAUUGAUCAAGGAUACCCAUUGAAACUGUAACUGCUAAAAGAUGAAACAGCAAAACUCAUUAAUCAGCUUAAGUUAAUGGUGGUACAAAUGAUGUACUAUAAUGCAAAUAAGAUGAAAAGAAAAGAUACUGAAAGAAGAAUAAAUCAAAUAAAAUCUUGGUACUUACAAAGAGUCACUUCAUUUGUGAGUGGGUGGAAAUAGCAGGAUUGUUGAGAUUUGAAUCCUUGAUCCAGCAAUAGUGAGACAUCUCUGGUAAAAAUAGAUAAAUAACUUGCUGAGAACAUCAGCAGACUCGCACAAAAAGAAGAUGGAAGAAAGAUUGCAGCAAUAUUUUCAUUAGAGUACAUUAGACUAUUGCUAUCAUUUCAUAUACAAGAAAACAUAUUAUAACAAAGCAUUCAUCAAAAGAGCUGACAAAUAGAGCAGAAACAAGAAGGGGCCAUUGUUGGUGUACUGCAAAAGUUUGAAAUAACCAUUUACCCUCAAAAUUGUAAUAUUUCUGGUAUACUACUAAAGAUUCAAGAUAUCCAAAAUUUUACCCAUAUCAUUAACUACUAUUGACUAAUGUUGGUCUUAACUCAUAUUAAAGCUAAUCAUGGUAUGAAAUUUCGAAUGGUACCGCUUGGUAUGGGUGGUACAUAUCAGUCUGACAGCAUAUCGGUACGUCGACCGCCCGCUACCGGACGGAUCAUGCUACAGGGCUACAGUAAUACACUGUAGCAGUGCUACAGUGCUAUAGUAAGAGGAAAUCGCUCGGUAAGCCCUGGUGUACCGUUCGGUACGCCCUGGUGUACCGUUCGGUACGCCCUGGUGUACCGUUCGGUACGCCCUGGUGUACCGUUCGGUACGCCCUGGUGUACCGCUCGGUACACUGGUAGCAUACCGUAUCGAGCCAACCUCGAAACAUCGGUACGGUACGGUAUUGCAUACCUUGAAGCUAACUACAUGUUUGGUUUACUAAUGACUGUUGCCGAAAGACCAAAUCACUUCUAACCUGUAUGCCUAAUUCUCUAUGAUGUGUGAAGGAGGUAAAUCGAAAGUCAUAGAAGAGCCUCUCUAACGAAAGAGAAGGGAACUGAUUGGAAAAAGAUGCCUCAAACAACUUUUCUGUCAAGCAUUCUUUCACUUUUGCCCUAAGGUUAGCUGAGUGGUCCAUGUCAAGGUUUGCCACAUCCUUAACAUAAUUCUUUAGGUUUUCCAUGAUCUCAUCUGUGGUUAACUCAAAAAAUCAUUGGUAACUAGAUCUUCUAGCAACAGAGGCCCAUGGUCUGCCAUAAAUAAAAUCACUCCCUUGCUCUGAGGGGUGAGAACAAAGGGGGAGAUGUCACGUCCCUCCAAGGUGCAGCAACACCAGGAGACUGAGAAGUGAGAACAUUCAAUCAGGGAGGAGAUAUGGUUAGAAGGGGGCUGCACCUGAACCUCCAACUUCCCCACUCAUAAAGUGCUCAGAGUUCUCUCUUCAAUGCCAGCCCAAAAGAGAGUAAAAUUUCCAACUCUAAAAUGUUACUCUCAACUCUGAGGUCUGAAUUAACAAAACCAUAUUGACAUACAAUUUGCUGUAAAAUAGUAUUAAUAACAAACUCGAGGUUUAUAGAAAAUUAAGAUUAAAAGAUCAAUUUACAUUUUGCUUAUAAACAAGAAUUGUCAAUAAUAAAUUAGUAAUCAAUACCUUGCAGAAUCAUUAAUUAGUGCAAGUGGUGUUACACAUCCUAGUGGUACCUGGAAAAGCAGCAAAAAACAAGUUACAUUAAUUUCAAAAGGCAAACAUCACCAUAUAUAGAGGGCAUGAAAUUGAAACUGUCAGGCAAACAACUUUUUGAAAGAUGGCAAAUGAAAACAUUCAUCAUUAAACUCUAAAUUUCUACAACUAGCCAUCACAUAACAUCAACAAGUUCAUCUCACAGCGUAAAUCAAAUAAGCCAAUGAAGACAAUCCUUAUAAAUACUAGAAUUACAUAUCUACAAUUAUAUGAUUACUAUAACAACAGAAAAAGAAAAGGGAACACAAAAACAGGCAACAAAGGAACAGUCCUUAGAUAGAAACAGCUGUAACUGUCAUAAGGCUCCAAAUUAUUGAAUGAUUUUAGCUUCUGAGUAAAAGCUUUAAAUACUUUCUGACCAUCCAAAGAUACACCGAGUCACCGAUCUUUUUAAAAGGGAUAUUAAGUCAUAGAUAAGUUCACCACUAUAGUGCCAAGAUUUUCUCUUCACAUCAAAAGGUUUAGGGUAAAAGUCCAUUUUAACCCGUAUGGUUUUGGCCACGGAUCACUUAAGCCCUUAUGGUUUACUCGUGUCUAAAAUAACCUCUACAUUUUUAAAAACGUAGCAUACAAACCUCUCCCGUCAAGUCUGAUUUAACAAACGUUAGAGCCAGCUUACGUGGCAUACCGACUCACAAUAAACCAUUAAUAUAAUGACAUGUGUAAUUUAAGUUUAAAAAAUGGUUAAGAUCCAUUUUAGCCCAUGUGGUUUUGGUCAUGGACCACUUAAGCCCUUAUAGUUUAUUCGUGUCUAAAAUAACCUCUAUAUUUUAAAAAAUAUAGCAUAUAAAAUUCUCCCGUCACGUCUGAGUUAACAGGCAUUAUGGUCUGCUUACGUGAUAUACUGACUCAUAAUAAACUAUUAAUAUAAUAACAUGUUUAAUUUAAGUUAAAAAAAAACUGAGACCCCCAUCAAUGGCAGGACGAGGUGUCAUCGUGGAAGCUACCACCACCACCAGCAGCAAGCCACUGCUGUCUAGCAGGGCGUCGUAUGCACGUAGCCUCUCCCGUGUUGACGAUGAGUUUAGAAGCUUCCGGUCCUACCUUAGGUGGAUGAGCGUCGACCAGUUCGACGCAAGGCACGCUGUGGUCUCUUGGGUGUCUUUGUCCUCACCGCCUCGCACUUUGUCUUCUCCCGCACCCCCACCCGCCGCGCUACGACGUGGUGGUCCAACUCUCCCUUACCUCCGCCUCCGGCCUCUCCUACCUUUGCCUUUCCGCCUUUAUCUGUCGCUACGACCUCCGUCACGUCCUCUUUCUCGACAAAAUAAACCUUAACUAUUUUUUAAAUUUAAAUUACACGUAUCAUUAUAUUAAUAAUUUAUUAUGAGUUAGCAUGUCAUGUAAGCAGACUCUAACGUCUGUUAACUUAGACUUGAUGGGAAGAGCUUAUAUACUACGUUUUUGAAAAUAUAGGGAUUAUUUUAUACACGAGUAAACCAUAAAGACUUAAGUGGUCCAUAUCCAAAACCAUAAGGGCUAAAAUGGACUUUAACCAUUUUUUAAAAUUAAAUUACAUGUAUCAUUAUAUUAAUGAUUUAUUGUGAGUUAGUAUGCCACGUAAGUAGACUCUAACGUCUGUUAACUCAAACUUGACAGGAGAGGCUUAUAUGCUAUAUUUUUUAAAAUGUAGAGGUUACUUUAGACACGAGUAAACCAUAAGGGCUUAAAUGAUCAAUAGCCAAAACCACAAGGACUAAAAUGGACCUUAACCCAAAGAUUUAUGUGAUCACCAUAAGCUUGUUAGAUAUUCAAGAGACUUUAUAAGAUAAUUAUAACUUGAAAUGUUUUGUAAUUACAGUGGCCGACUGCAUGACAUAGAGGCAACCCACCAUUACUAGGUAGAUCUAGCUCUCUUAGUUAUAGGGCUCAAAUAAUUUAAUUAAAGCAAAAGCAUUAUAUUCAUAAUAAAUGUGUAUACACAUCUCACUCAUUCUUUAUGUAUUUAUUGGAUUCAGUGGUAUAGCAACCAUUCAGUUGAAAGAACCAAGGUAAUAUAUCUGAGAUAUGGCCAACAUAUUAAGAAAAAACAGAAAAUCUAAUAAUAAAGGCCAAUAAUAGUAAAACAGACCUGAAGUAUUUCUUGCAAAGCUUCUUCAGCAGCCAUUCGCAAACCUCCUUUUCCAAGGCCGAGUCUUUGGGACAAAACUGAUUGGCACAAAGUAUAUAUACCAUAAAGUUCAUCCAUUAACUCAAAUGCAUCAAUUAAUAUGCAACUGAAUCAUGUAACAUUUGCACCACUGAGUAAGCAUAUGUACCUUUUAAGUCAAUGUUUGUGUUUGCAAGAGCAGAAACAACAUAAUAUCUAUGUUUCUUGUCCUGCAAUGGACAUGCAUAAUGUUAUUUAUGUAGAUAGAAUGUCCAAUUAAUUUUACUGUUGUCAUCUACAUGCUUCUUCAGAAAAGUUUUCCAUUUCAGGCAUUGCAUAUUACCUUUAACAGCAAAUUUUUACUUAAUGCGCCACCCAAAUGUCCAACAUACUUUGCCUAACAAAAGGAAACAAUUGUUCAGGAAUUGUUUUAAUAACAUGUAAAAGAGGACAACUAUUACAUACUGACCUGAGCCUCAACAGUCAAGACAGCAGGAUGAUCAUAGCAAACAAAAUCAAUCUGAAGUUCCUGUAUAAGAGAAGACAUUAGACAAAGAAGUGUUUGUUGGAUAGUAUAAAACCAGAAUCCAUUAAUGAAGCUAGGGUUUGUUUGGUUGCCUAUAACUGGAAGUCUUAUAAGAUAUAUUGUGAAAGUGAUACUUGCAAAGAGCAACUUCCAAAGUGACUCUAGUUCACAAAAAAAAGUAAGAAAAAUCUUUUAUUUUAAUCACUUCAACUGUUUAUUUAUAAUUGUUUAGAUAACUGAUAGAUCAUUGGAAAGUGACUCUAGUUCACAAACAAAAAAAAGUAAGAAACACCUUUUAUUUUAAUCACUUCAACCGUUUAUUUAUAAUUGUUUAGAUAAGUGAUAGAUCAUUGGGUAGCAUACAAGAGCUAGAAAAUCAGCACUCUGAUGAUCGGACAUAGCUAGAAAGUCUAUCACUAGAAUCAACUUGUGGGACAAUCUGACAACUACUACAACAACAAGCUGUAAUGUCCCAACAUGUUAGGGCUACCUAACAAUUACUCUACAAUAAUGAAUGAAAUUAAAUUGAAAAUUCUGCAAGAAGCUUUAAAACAUCCAUAAAUUCAAUGACCCCUUGGCUAAAACCUAAUCCAAACAAAAGUCAACACAAAUCUAAUUCUAACAGACAUGAACAUAUGUGAGCACUAGAAAAUAUAUCAACCUAUACUUUUCACGACUAGGUGGUCUCUAAUGUAAAAAAAAAAUGAUUUUUUUUUUCUAGAAAGUGAGACAAUCAGGACAACAGGAAACUAUGUUUCAUUCAUUUGAUGCACCAUGUUUAUUCAAUAUUUUGGGAGGAGACAAAAACCAUCGUAUUAUCUCGUAAAGCUGAAUGGCAAAUCAGUCAAAAGAUGAGGCCACAAGUUGUGCAAGCGAUCCCCAAACCAUCAUACGAACUUUACAAUUGACAUUUCAACAAGAAGAUAAAAAUAAGCUUGUGACAUUUUGUAGGCAAUCUGAGUUCAAGUUCAGCUAUCCUAUAUGGACUCGCAGGCAAAUUAGGGUUGGACCAACAACCAAUUUGGAACAAAUGUUCUCGAGAAACCGAAAACAUACCUAAGGAGAGUUGUUCCUUUUAAGAUACAAUGAACAAAUGACAUCUGACCAUGUGCACUUAUCAAAAGAUCGAUAUGCUACAACAUCGUUGAAGACAAAACAUUUGGAUGACAUGCAGUGAAAUAAAAUCGGUUUACUCCCUUGACGGCAGGCGGACAUGCGAUGGGUAACACAGCGACGGAAGGGGUAUAGGAGGCAUACCUUUAAGCGAGCAAGAAGCUGAUCCUUGGUAUAACCCAUAUCGAUUUGAGGCGACCGAGGAAGAAGAAGAGGAGAGCCUGCGCUCAGUUGUGAUCCGAUGGCAGACAGACAAUAGACUAGGGCGACCUCGAGCCCACCCAAGAAAUGGCCAAUCUCAUCCGACCCGGUAGGAUGGCGAUGGGUCCGACCCAUCAACACAGAGAUCCGUCAUUCCAGACCCGCAAAGUUAAACGGUUCAGUUGGAUCAUGUUAGAAUCUUCCUAACGGACCACACAUCGAUCCGUUCAAAUCUCGGAUUGAAUCGAUAUUGGGAUGUAAGUUUCAUAUUUCUAUCUAACAAUUAUAUUAAUUUUAAAAAUAAAAAUAUUUAAUGACAUGUAAAAAUAUAGAAGACAAUUUAUUCUUUUAAGAUACAAAAUGCCUAAUCAGUAAAUUGAAUCGAUUGACGGUUUAAUUGUCGAUUUUUACACCCGAUUGAUGAAUCUGGUCUUGACUAAAGAACAUGAUUGUUUUGAUCACGCGAACUCGAAAUUAUUUUUACUGCAUUUUUCUAUCAAAUUGAUCAAUACCAUGAUAGUGAUAGAUGACAGAGUGGUACGUUAGAAAAUUAUUAUGGCACACAGAAAGCAUGGGUUUGUCAGAUGCAAAUAUCAUGAACUUUAAUAUUUUUUUGCACAUUAAUAAUCAUAAUCUUUUUUAUAUUUGCGUAUGAAUUCCGUAAUAUGUUGUGAACAGAGCAGUCUCCAACUCUUGUUUGUUGUCGUUCACAUUGGCCUUUUUAUCUUAUUAUUUUGUCAAUAGGCUAUGAACUGUAAUAAAUAUUUUGACUUUGAUCUAAAAGUAAUAAAAUAUGAGACAAAUCUAAAUGAUUUGAGGUUUCUACUCUUUCGAUUUGUCUCAAAAUUCUUUCUCGAUCAAAAAAAGUUUCUCAAAAUCCAUAAAGUAGAAACAAAAUGAUGCCAAGGCGCUGACAUGAAACACCAGAACAAUGACGACUAAUUACAUUAAAACAAGAAAAGCAAGCAUGUUCAUGAAGUAGAAACCAACUCAAUUCAUCAACUCUCUGUGAAGGCAGGUAGGUGCUGCCAACCAGCUAUAGAUCAUGCACCUUGAGAAGGCUCAUUUUUUCCUACAGGCAAAAGUUUACUUCUACGAUUCAAAACUCUGAUUACCAGGAUGGCAGGAUCACAAAGAAGCAAUCUUAUUACGACAUCCAGUUUCCUCUUCUAAUAAAAUAAGACAUGCAGCUUCCACAAAAAACAAUAUUUAACUUGAAAGGUACGGACGGGAAAAGCAUUCAUCGAGCUAUCAACUGGGUCAAUCGUACAAAAAUUAUCAGAUUCACUAGAUUUAUAUAUAAUACUCAUUGCAUAACACUUGAGGAUUAGUCAAGUGGGGGACAAGGUUAGAAAAAAAAGCUACUUGCUCGCAUCUACAGCCUAUAUAGGUGCCCCAGCCCUUCGGGGAGCACUUACAUUUAAAAGGAAAAGAAAAGAGAUCAGCCGCCUUUGCAGCUAUAAACCUGGUAUGGUUAUCAGACGGUUACCUUAUAUUUACACUUGUUGAGAUUUGCAGAUGCCCCGCAAACCUUCCAUCCCCCUCUUGUAGGGAGUUUUCUACUUCAGCUCACAAAACCUCAGAAGCAGUACAACUGCUUUCGCUGCAAGCUGAACUCCAGAUACCGUUGAUGACCCAGAUAUGAGCAGUAAAACACAUGCUGGAAGAUCCACUUUAUGUUCCUGUAUAUCCACUAUCAUGGCCCGCAUAUAAGUUGGAACACCAAGAAUCCCAGAAAUCCAGUCAGCUUCAUCUCCCAGGGCAUGGAGGUUGCAGCUUUUGCUGCAGAAGUAAUUAGAAUAUAAGAUCAGGAACUCAAUAAAGUACUUGUUUUCAGCUCAAAUUAUGUGGGAACCUUUAAUAAACAACACAAAAGCUUCACUACAAGUGACAUAUUAAAGAAUGUAUGUGACUUCAAAUAUGCUCAUAAAUUUUUACUAGUUUCACGUUGGUUUCAACAGCCUAAUGCAAUUAUCCACCUUUUACAUUCUGGUUUAGGACUGACAUUGAUGGAAUCAAGGGAUAUUUAUCACAUAGUUUUUAUGAUAGUUUUUAGAGUAAAUUAUGUAUUAGAAUGAGGAAAAGAUAUUUAGCAGACUUCUAAAACUAGAAAGAGAAAGUAUUGAGAUAAUAAAAACAAUUAGAUGUGUCAAUGAUGAAUAUCAAAAAUGUGCUUAUUAAUCAUAUAAAGAUCAAGGAAAAUGGAGAUAUUAUUUUAUAAAUUAGUUAAAACAUUCUAUUGAUUACUUAGCUAUAGCGAUAAAUCAUGGUUGUCACGAGUUGGCAUGGAGACGUAAUACAUGCAUGACUUGUCCCAAGUACCUAGGCCGGGCACAUGCCUUGUACAUGGUAUGUUCAUUGUUACAAGGGUCGCAGAUAUCACAUGGCUAAAGAAACCUUGAAGCAGCACAUUAAUUAAAGUCGCAAGAAAAUGACAUGGAAGGGCAAUUAAGUAGACUAAUCUUUUCUAUAAUAUCAAGUUAGUAAUAGUCUUCAAUGGGUUGCAAAGGAAAGAUGGUGUUUCAGGGGCUCACUUGUCAUUAAAGAUUUGAAGAAUUCAUGCAACUUGUUAUCUAUAUAAAAGUAACCUCCAAUUUUGUUUCAGCACAAGCUUCUGCUAGGUAACUGGAGUAAGACCCUAAAUCCUUGUUCUUUAACAAGGACAACUUGUAAUGUGAUUUGUUGUGAUUUGUGCAAUGCUAUCACAGGAGUUCUAUAACAUGCAUGAAUAUGUUCAUGUUGGAAGAAGUGUACAUAGCCAAGGAUGAAAAGUAAUUUCUAAGUUUCAACAACUAAAAUAACAAAAGUGACUGCCACCAACUUACCUUGGUCAAAAAGUAUGCAAACAUAAUAAGGAUGAACCUAGUGAAUGAAACUACUGCUAGCACCGGAUCUAGAGAGAGUAAAUGUCUACAGCCUUCUACCUAAAAAUAGAGAUGCUAUUUCUGUGGCCCAAACCUAGUCAACAAAAAGUAUGCCAAACAUGUAUCUUGUAGACCCUACAUACAUGUGUUGACUGCAGCUCAGAUAACCAUUCUAGAGACUUCAAAUCAAAUUAAAAAUUUAAAAAAUAUGGGCAUCAUAUGUCCCAUCUUGUAAUUAACCCAGAACAAAUAAGUUAAAACCAACAUGUCCACAUGCCUUUGGGAUCAAUUGUCGACAUGUAUUUGUCUGGGUGUAACUAGUGAGCCAAUCUCAUGUAAGCACUACCUCACUGUGAACUUUACAAGUAAACAAAAUAUAGGACCGAACUGUUGGUCAAUGUUCAAGUUCAUGAACUUCGUUUCAUGACAAUUGAAGACACUGAGGGUUGGUUAAACAUUAUAGAAUAAAUCAACGUAUCUAAUGACAUGGAAGGAUAUGUCCUUAAAAUUUAACAGGAAUCAAUAUAAUCUAAGGAUACAAGUCAAAAGGCAUUUAAGAACAUAUUCAAAUGAUAGAAAGCAGUCAAUUUCUUAUGCCAGUUCCAAAGAUGUUCUUUACCAUUAUUCAAAUAACAAGAUAUUAAGUUAGAUUUAUAUUCUGUAGCUAUUCAGAUAAUCUAAGCAUAAAUUUGAAAAAAAACCCAAAAGAAAACCAGUGACUCUGAAAUCACUUCUUUUUAAACAAACUACCAUGCCAAUUAGUUAGCAAAAGUAACUUACAUAACAAAGUAAGUGGAAUAAGUGAUGGCACAGGUGAUGGUGACAAUCUGCCACCAUUUCCAACAUCUUGCACUGGACUGGGAGCAUAGCUAGCUGCAGAUGACAAUGGUGAGUGCUCUGGGUUCCCUUUGGGAGUUGACCCCAUUGCUUCAUGACUUGGAGGACUGGCCAAACCUGGCAAAUGAUUGGAAGAAAGUGGUGGUAAAAGAUGGACUGAUUGACCAUUAUUUGGUGCCAGAGAGGGACAAGGAUAAUGGUUAGGAAAAGGAUCAAUCUUUCUUUGUGAAGGUUCAGGUGCGUUCACAGACCAAGAAUGCGGCUGAAUGCCAUUUUUGGGGGCAGGUGGAUAUGCCAUUGGACUUUCUGAUGGAGAAAUUUGACAAUAUAAACAUGGAGGCUGUUGAUGUUGAUCAUUUGAUGGAGCAGGAGCAAAAGGAGAGAGAGUAGGGUUCGAGGAAGCAGGAGGUACAGGGUAAAGAACAUCAUUAGAUGGAGAUGGAGAUGGAGAAGGAGGAGGAGAUGGACCAGGGGCCAGCGACAAAAUUGAGGGUUUAAGGUAUGAUGACAACUGCACUUGCCUUACUUUUCCAAAAACAGAAUUGUUAAGUCCAAGAUUGUUUGCAUCAGGCCCUGUGAUGACCUGAGCUAGUUGUUUCAUUCUAUCUGGUAAAAGAGUACCACUUCCAACAUCUGACAAAACAGAAGCCUCGACAGUAACUGGUGGUGCCACCGUGGAACCAUCUGCAUUCAUCAGCUUCACAUAUACAUUCUGCAUACAAACAACAUAUUUAAUGCUUUGUUUCACAGUUCAAACAUAGAUUGCAAACAUACGAAAAGCAUAUUGUAACAGGAUGGGCACCUCAUAAGACCUCAAAUUCAGUCCAAACUUAAGUUCACUCAUCAGGCGGUCAAUAUUCUCCAGAAUCUGUUCAAUGGUGUUAUUUAAUUUGAAGACAAAUAGGACUUGUGCUCUGUCCCAAAUAGAAGUCGAUGGCAAUGGUAUAACAGUGAUCCCUCCAGGAAACUUCGAAAGCUCAAAAGCAGAUGGGCGCCCAAAAAUUGAUGAUGUCAAAGAUAUAUUAGUUUGCUGAAGGACCAGCUCUAUCAGAGUCGACCUUAAAAUACUUAGGGCUUGUAAACUUAUUGAAGCAUUUUUGGGGUUAUGAAGAAAGCCAAAUACCACAUACGUAGAGUUUUCUGGAGACAAUGGUUGCAUGGAAAUAAUUGAAACCUGUUGAGAUAAUUCAAUUUCUUAAUCUUCUGAAUAACGAGAAUAAAGUUGAAUAUACAGAAACAAAGUGAAAUCAAACCUUGGUAUUUGGAAUUCCAAUUUCCUCAAAAAUGUCAUACUCCAAUCUUGCAGCAUCAGCAGCAAGUUGUGAAAUUGGUUUUUGCAAAAUGAAGCUUGCCUGGAUUUCAGCUGUAACAAAACAAGAUAAACAUUUAUCUCCAAUAAGUUUCUUGAUAUCCCUUCCGCAUUCAAAUAAUUACAAUUACCAGUUCAUCACAGGGCUAUGCAUGGAUUUGUAUAUCACCUCUUAAGUACAAUUACGUUAUUCAUAUUAGCCGGUACGUAUGAACAUAUCCAUUACUCAAAAUGCUAAAGUUACCACUAAAUUAUGGUUACAGUUUUUGCUUCUACCUGGUAACAUCAGGUUAAGGUUAUACUCUCCUGGUCAGGCAUUAUCCAGUGCAAUAUAUUCCACAUUAACCAACAAAACAUAUACCAUCAUGUAGCAGAAAAUUAAAGUUAUAGAUCAACCAUAAAAUUUGUUGAUUCAAAUAGCUAUAUUUAUUAAUAGAUAUCUCACUUGGAGCCGAUUAAACCAUUCCUCAAACCAUGCCUGCAUUAUUCAGACAGAGAUCUCCAAUAUAGAAGGGCAACAUAAGCAUAUUCAUUCUUAACUCAUGCACUAAUCUAGCAUUCCUAACUCAAGCCUAUUCCAUAUGCAUACCAUGUAACGGCAUACACAGCAUCAUAAGCAUCAAAACACAAUUUCACACGUUUUAUGUCUCAUGUGAACCAUGAUAGGAUAAUAUAAAGUCACUUAGACUUGUACUAAUUUCCCACAACUUAUCACAUAAGCCUUUUAUUAAAUGAGCAUAAUAUAAUUAGGAUAGACUCUUAACAUGUCCAUAUAUUUUUCUACUGAUUAUUUGAAUUAUAUUACGGGAGCGAUCAAGCAAAAAAUAAGCAUAAUUUUUAUUAUGCGACACAAAGAAAACAAAAAGCUAGAGAAGACGCAGUUCAAUCUGCUUCAAAGACCGAAGCCCCUAAAAUCCCAGAUCCAAUAUGUCCAAGAAAAACGCCAACAAGACCCAGAGUGCCCAUCUCAUCACACGAAACAAAACCUAAAUGGCAAAAUACUACCCAUCACCACAAGAUCGACAAAGGAAUCUAGGAAAUGGAGCUCACCACGAAGGCUGUCGGGGUCAUCGGGGACGAAUACGGAUCGACGCGUGCGGAAGGGUGGGAGCCAAAAGAUGACGGGGAGCAGCACGCAAACGCUGAGGGCCAACACGACGAGGCUUCUAGUAGGGCACGCCCAGCGUAUCCCGCCGCCGGCGUCCACUAGAUCGGGCACCUCGACGAGGACUUCCUCCGGCUUCCCCAUUUAGAGGGCAUCGGAAGCCGCCGCACCCACUCGAACAGAGAAGAGCGAUGCGCGUAAUCGCAGAAACAACGAGAAGAGAAGCGGAGACGGAGACGGAGGUGAGGGGAAGUGGGAGCGGAAGAGCAACCACCAGCUGUUCCGAAUAUUUUAUAUUGCUCUCUCGCUUUAACCUUUAUUUGCUCGGCUUUAACGGGUUUGUUCACUGCCAAGCUUCGAAUGACGUAUUUACCCCUUCUAAUUUUUAUAUCUUUUAAAUAUUAUAAUCUUUCACACACAUCUAACAAAAUCAAAUUAAUCAAUACUAGUAAUUAAUUUAUAUUUCUAAAUAUGUAUAUCUUUUUUGUCUCUUCAGAUAUCCGAAUUGAUUAAUAUAUUAUUUCAUAAGUAAUAAGUGCUGUAAUAAUUUUUUAAAAAAUAAAUAAAAUGCAUUUUAAAAAUAUGCUCAUCCUCUAUUUUCUGAAGAAUAUUAAUUAAAAAUAAAUAUAAAAUAAUUUUUAAUAUUUUUAUGAAGAAGAUGUUUUCGUAGAAAUAUUUUAUUGUUAUUUGAUAAUUAGUUAUUCGUUUAUUUUUCACUUUUCCUUCUUCGUUCUUAGCAAAGGUGAUAUAAAAAUAAAAAUCCCAAAAGAUUAGAAUUCCUUCCGUCUCAAAGGAGAGAAGGCAUGUUGGCUUUGAUAAAAUAUAUUUCUGACUUUAAGUAAUACUAUUCGAUUUGAUGGGAUAGAUACUUAAGCUUAAACGAGUUUAUUAUAUUAUCAAGAUCUAAUAUAGUCUAAAUCAAAUUAUGAUAUCUAAUAAUGAUUUUAAGUAUGAUGUGUAAUCUUAGGAUAAUCUUUUCGACAUCAAUCAUAAAGCAAUUUAUUUGUUAUCCUGAUUUGAUAUGAUUGACUAACUGAUAUAUUUAUUUUUUUAAUAUAAAUUAUUAACUUAAAAUAUGUAAACUAAGAUUAAUAGUAAUAUGUCCAUCAAAUUAUAAGUCAAUAUUAGUCUUAACCCAUUUUAAAUUUAAAACUAAUCAAAUUAUUACAUUAAGUUUAUAUUAAUUAUUUUAUUUUUCUCAUAUAAAUUUAAUUUUUAAUUAAUUAAAAUUAUUAUAUAUUAUAUACGAAAAAUUCAACUUUUAAUAUUUUUAUAAUGGAAGUCCUCUCUAAGUACUUAAGUUGCAGUUAAUAAAAAUAUAACUAUCAGAUUAUUUUUAGCAUACUUCCAGUCUAAAACUAAUCAGAUUAAUUUAUAUUAAUUAUUUAUUUAUCCCAAUAUAAGUUUAAUUUUCUAUUAAUUAUAAAAUAAAUUAUCAACUACUAAUUUUUUUAUAAAUAAAUUGAAAUACAAUAUUUGGUGUACUAUAUCUCAUUGAACAAUAACGAGUAUGAAUGAUUAAAAAAUGUUAAUAUAUAACUAACUAUAUUUUCAUUCUAUUACUUAUGUAUUAAAUUGCUACAGAAUACGUACAGCAUAUUUAAUUAUAGAGAUUUCACGUUUUUUAUUUUAAUAUAUAUCUAAAUGGUCUUCUUAAAAUAAAUAAUAUUUGAUUGAAGUACUACAAAUAAAUCAUCGAUCAAUUCAAGCAAACUCCGAUUGGACAUGCUAAUUUAAUAUAAUCGAACAAAAUAAUAUGAAUCGAUGAAAUUAAGCUAAAUCUAAAAGCAUGUUCCUAAUGAACGUCCAUACAAUGAAGUGGUAAGAAAGUCGAAAACGACUGAUAUUAAAAUGAUGUGACUGUUGAUGGUAUAACUCACCAAAGCAUGACAGUACAUUGCAACAAAUAUGCAUGCUAUCAAUGAUGUCAUUGAUGUACCUCCUCGAACAAAUUGAAAUAUGUAGUCCAACUCCCGGCUUAAAACAUGAUUGUGACCCAUCAAUUCAAGACGAGGACGGUUCGAUUAAAUAAUGGAGAAAUAUAAAUGUGAUCGAUCACAUGAUAGAGCAAAUAUAAUUCCAUAUAGUUGUUUUUAAUAUUUUAUCUAUGGUUAAAUGAUAUGCUUUGCAAAGCAUACAAGGGAAGAGAAGAAGAAGAAGAAGAAGAAACCAUAGGUAGGUGGGACUCUGAUAGGAAUCUUGGCCAACCACCGGACCUAUGCUUUGAUUGGAAUUGAAUUGUUGUUGAGUUGUUGAGCUACAUUUAUCUUUUUAUCUUCUUGUAGAGUAAGAAAAUUGCCAAUAAUCAAAUGUGUAUAAUGCAUGACUGUCAUGUUUGUCAUAUUGAGCUUGACAUAUCUUUGCACUCUUCACAUGCAAAGAUGUGGACAGUCCUGUGAACAUAUUCAUUAACUUAAAAUGAUAAAUAUUCUAUAAUAUAAAUUUUAUUUAUUUUUAUAUUUAUUGAUGAUGGUUAUAAUACACUAGAAAAAUAUAAUAGAAAAGAGCAUAAAAUAAAAGGAUUUGUAUGGUAGAGAAUACUAAAUUAGAAGUGUUUUCCUAAUAGUUUAUUGGGGCUAAUUACGUAAUAUCCCAUAUAAUUAUUUAUCUUUAACAUAUCAAUUUUUAUAUUUUUAAAUGUUACAUUUAAGAUCUAUGUAUUUAUGAAAGUAAAAUGUUUAAUUCUAUUUCUUCUCACGCAUCGACUCUAACGUGCGAUAUUUUUGUCAAACAGAAUGGAUGACGUGAGGAGAAACAGAGUUAAAUAUUUUACUUUCAUAAAUAUAAGAAUAUUAAUAUAAUUUAAAAAUAAAAAUUAAGAUAAUUAAUUAUAGAAAAAAAUCUAUAAUUAACCUGAUUUAUUAACACAUCAAAUUACCAUCGUCAUCAUCAUCUUGCCUACGAUAGCGAAUGGUAUCACUGUGGUAGAACACGCAAGCAACUCAUGGUUUUCCAACAAAGAAACGACAGCAGUCUACUUGGUUGUGUUCGUCGGAAACAACCGACGUCCAUUCUCGACAAACCCCCUCCUCGUUCCCAUUCCCACCGCCACCACCUUCCCCUGUUCGAAUCCAAUUCGUUGAAACGAAGAAGAGCAGCAGCGACGACGACGACAGGAGAAUGUCCGCUCGAUGGAUUGUCAUCCUGUGUUCCUGCAGCUUCGGUGUUGGAGUGCUUUUCGCAGACUAGUGUGGUUCUUGUUUUGCUUUUGGUUUAGGUGUCAUGUCAAAGAUUUGAUUUUGAAGCAACUGUGGCGCUGGGUAGUUUUUAGGCCGUCUCGGAUACCAACAAGUUUAGAUGUUGGAACAGUAAUAUUAAAAUAUAAUUUUAAUUAAAUAAGACCUUCGGUAUUGAAAUAAUAAUAUUAAAAUAUUUUUUUGAUUAAAUUAACAAAUAAAUUAAAUUUGUAAAAAUUAAAAUAAAAACAAUUAGAAGAAAUUUUUUAUUAAAUUAGGACUUUAGUGUUGGAGCAAUAAUACUAAAAGAAUCUUUGAUUAAAUCAAAACAUGUUAAAUAUGGAGAAAUUGAAAUAAAAAUUUAAAAAAAAAACCUAAAAAUCAUAUUUUUCAUGGCACUCACUUGCAUGGUGAGAUUACUGUAGCUGAGGUAAAUGGAUAAUUUUAUAAUUAUAAAAUGUGUUAUAAAAUAAAUUAAUUGUAUGUCAUUUCCAAACCUUCACUUAUAUUUCAGUUACCAAAUCUUUUUUAAUAAGUUAAAUUUUUUUUAAAAAUUUUUUAAUAAAAUAUCUAAGGAGAGAGUAAAAGAAUUGAUGAGAAGUCACUCUCAACCAUUGAUAUGGGACUAAAAUCUUUGAACAAUGAAAGGGAAUUUGAGUUUUUUCCCUUUCCAACAAUCCUCAUAAAAAAAAACUCUAAUUCCAUUCAAAUAAAUAACUAAAAUAAAUAAUAAAAUAAAAUAAAAUAAUUACAAAUAAAUAUUGUUAGUGCAUGUCUUGAACUAUAUUCUUUUAAUCGAAACCUCAACUAGCUCACACAUAGUAUGAAAUACAUCUUCACGGGUUAUACGUUAAUAGUCAUACGCGAAUAUCUUGAUUAUUUAUGAGAGAUUCUAAGGAUUGCCCAUAUCCUUAAUCAUAAUUAUCUACAUAGAACACUAAUCACCAUAGGGAUAGGGUUAGAGAUAAACUUUAUAUCUAUAUGCAUUAAAAUACUAAUCAUUAUACUCCUUAGCUAAUCAGUCAGCUUAUUAUUAUCACAUUGAAUCUCUUUCAAGAGAUUGCUUAUUACAAAGGUUGGAUUUAUAUUGUUAGAAGACUCAUUUUAGGCAAAGACUCAUUCCUCUCGAUAACACUAACUAUGUUAUUCCUAUACGUUUGCUUAGGAGUACUAAUCACCAUAGGGAUAGGGUUAGAGAUAAACUUUAUAUCUAUAUGCACUAAAAUACUAAUCAUUAUACUCCUUAGCUAAUCAAUCAGUUUAUUAUUAUCACAUUGAAUCUCCUUCAAGAGAUUGCUUAUCACAAAGGUUAGAUUUAUAUUGUUAGAAGACUCAUUUUAGGCAAAGACUCAUUCCUCUCGAUGAUACUAGAAUCUUAGUCCUAUUUAAGUCUUUAGUAAAAUAAUCAACUAGAUUAUUAUCAUUUUUAAUAAAAAAUAUAAAAAUAGCAUAAUCUAGUCAUUUAAUGGAUUUUUGUCUAAUUUUUAUGUGUAUGCUCAUUUUAAUAUUUAUAAGUUUCUUUUGUAAAAUAUUGAAGUAUAGAAAUUAGAUUUUUAAAAUAUUUUGCUUCAGGACGAGCGGUGUAAGUGCUACACGCUCAAAAACACUUUCGACAAUAAUAGUUUAUUUAGUUGAUUGUCAAAAUAUAAUACUUCCAUCAAGAAAAAAUAUGGAUCCUAUAAAGUCAAGUCAAUAAUAAAAAAUAUCUUUAAAGUAUCUAAAAACUCGUUUAAGAGCAUUUUGAUGACUCAAACUUGGGUUACUAGUAUAUCUAGUAAGUCUGAAUAUAACAUAAGAGAUAUCAGGUCUAGUCAUAUUUGAUAGAUAGAGAUGAGAUCCAAUAAUAUGAGAGUAUAUUUCUUGAUUUACAAGAUUACUAAUAUUUUUAAGAAGAUAAACAUUUGGUUCAUAAAAAGUGAAGAUAGAUGAAGAAUAUAAUGAGAUUGAGAUGAUAUAAAAUUAGAAGAUUUUUGAAUUUCCACUUCUAAGAUAAUAUCAAUUUUAGUAAGAUCUUUCGUAUGAAAGUAAUGAGAUAAGAAUGAUUUAAUUUUUAACUUCUUAUAUAUCUUAUUUUUUUAAAACUCUGUAGAAUUCUAUUUCAUUGUUAAUUAUCGCUUAAAACAAAAGUAUUGGGAGAGCACAUAGCUUCUAAAAUUAGCUUCUAAAAAGGAACUUGGUGUCUCGUGUAAGAGAUAAAAUCAUUAUCUAAGUUAUUUUCAAUCCUAUCUCUCUUAUUUCUUAGAUGUUUAGAUUGAAUAUUAGAUUCUAUAAGAGUUGGGAAAAAAGAAAUACACUCACUUGAGAUAUUUGUAGAUAAUUUGGUCAUAAAAUAAAAUAAAAUAUAUUUUGCAUCUAUAGAUUUAAUUAGAGAGUUAUUUAAGAUUUCAGUUAUUUCAGAAUUUACUAUAGAGGAAGUAUCCUACAAAGAAAACAUCCAGGGACAUAUCUUCUUUUUCUUGGGUUAUGAGAUAUUAACCUUAGCUAAACAAUCUUGUAUUUGAAAGUAACUUAUCUGUGAUUUAUAAUCAUUUCAAAGUUCAUUGGCUUAUGCCUUCUUUUUCUUGUUGCUUCUUUAUGAUUUAUAAUCACAAGAGAGUCUCUCCUUAUCUAUUUUUAUUUUCAAUUCAUUAUAAGUGUACUCACCUCUUUUAUCAUAUCUUAGGGUUUUAAUUUUUUUUCAAGUUGGUUUUCAAUGCCUUAUAUCUUAAAUUUGAUAUAAAUAAAAUUCUUGUUAUUUUUCUAACCUCAUAACUUAUAUCUCCUACUCAUAUUGUGAAGCAAUAAUAUUUUUUCAGAAAAAAAAUUAUUUUUCUAACAUCAUAACUAAUAUAUUGUACCCAUAUUGUGAAGUAAUAAUAUAUAGCAUAUAUGUAUUUUUCUUGUAAUCUAUAAGAAUACAUAGGCUGAACUUAAACUUUGGAGGAAUAAAUAUGAAGCUUGUAAGUUUAAAAGUAUAUAGUUUUGCUUUAUAAAUUAUAAUAAUUUUAAUGAACACACAUUUUUAUGUUAUUGAUUGAAAAAGUUCGUUAAGGUCAAUUUGCGCAAAAGGUAAUGAUCCAUCUAAAAUUCACUCAUCCAUAUGAAAUUUUUUAUAUUUUGAUUUCUUAAAUACUUAUUCGAAAUAUUCAAAAUUAAGAUAAGUAGAUUGUUUAUUUUUUACAAUAACAACAUUAGCAUAUAUAAAAUAAUUUGACAUUAUAGAGGCACCCUCAACGUUGUGCAAAUUUUGAGGAGUAUAAACAAAAAUUUACAUUUUCAAGGAUGUGUAUGAAAUUACUGACUUACUGGUUUAUAACCAUGCAAAUAAUAAGAAGUUUAGUAUUAUUAUUAUUAUUAUUAUAUAAUAUAAGCUCUUGAUGGAAUUUAAAGUCAUGAUUUACCAUCGGUUUCCUUCUAUUUAUAGAGGUCUCCUAUAAACCAUCGGUUUCCUCCUAUUUAUAGAGGUCCCCUAUCAACUUAACCCUAAUGGAUCAUACCAACUGCCCAAGCAUUUUAGAUUAGUGAAUCUUUAUCUAAUAAUUUCUUAUUGACUUUUAUUAGAUCUCAUCCAUACGAUUCAAUAAUUCAGGGACUUAUUAGAUAUCUAAUAAGAUAGAGACUCCGAUGGAUAUCUUCAAACCUCUACAACCUCCUAUGAUUUUAUUUUUUUUAAUAUUAUGUUAUUGUUAAUUGUUGGAUUAGUUGAUUAUGUCUUCCAAGUGGAUAAGUGACAAUUUCUUUAAUCAUAUAUAUAUAUAUAUAUAUAUAUAUAUAUAUAUAUAUAUUAUACAUAAGUAAUAUUUCUGGGAUUUAAAACAAAUCAAAGUGAGGUGAUGUAGAUUUUUAAUAAAUUAAAUAAAAAAUAAAUUACAUAUAUAAUAAUAAAAAAAGAAUUAUGAAAUAAAAAUUGCAACUCAUUUUCAUUAAUUUUAGUUAUUAUACCAUCGAAUCCAUCUGUUGAAGUUUCUAUUUUUUCGCUAAACAUUGCGUAAAUUUCACAUAUUGUUAAUUCUAUCUGUCAAUUUAUUAUUUUUCGCAAAAUUUUUGAAGAACUUGCCGUAAUUGUCCUCCGCUCCGAUCCGUCCUCUGUUCCGAACCUCUUUUCUCAAAGUCUCAUUCUCUCUCUCUCUCUCUCCUCUUCCUCUUCUCUUUUCGUGCUUCCUUCCCGGCGUGGUACGAAGGAACCGGACGGAUCCGCCUCCUAGUCUCCUCCUCCUCCGGCAUCCGCUUGGUCGCGGCCGUCGCCUAAGAGGUAAGCGUUCGUCCUCCUCCUAGGGUGCUGCUAAGAUCGGACGGAUUGGCUGUGCCGCUCCGAUCCUGGAUGAUACUUUGUUUUGAGUCGGGGAUCCCUAAUUUUUUUUCGUCGUCUCCGGCGUGUUGGGGAUCGGAUGAGUUUUGAAUUCUUGGCGACUGUAUUGAAUGUCGUCUAGUCUUCGCAGAUUUUAAUAGGGAUGAUUUUGUCUCACCCAAGGUCUUUUGAGAUCAGGUUUUGGAUCGAAGAUCCCCUUGAAUAUACAUUGCUUGUUCGUUCGAAAGGCGUACUAUGAUUUUAGAUCAGACUAUGAGGAUCGUAACCAGAAUGGUUAUAACGAAAAGAAAUUUUUUAGGAAAACGACCACAAAUUGGCCACUGGUGUGACCUAUUCGAAUGGGAAUUGAGUACAGGUUAUUGUUCCAAUGUAGUAUAUUCAGCUUAGUCAUAGUGUCCAUGACUUCUCGUUAAAGAUACUAUGUUUUGCUCUUUCCGACGCACCAAAAUAUGGCAGUACGCGAUCAAGCCUGAUUGCAGAGCUGAGCCUUUUUGUCCAUUUGAUUGGACUAACUUUUGGAAGCCAUAUGGUAUAAAAAUUAUACAUUUAUGGAUUGAGAGCAUGGCCAAUAUUGUACUCGAUGGAGCCAUUUGGUGACCCUUUAAUGAUAAGUUAAUUACUUCACCAUGAUCAACAUUGUUCUGAAAAAUGAUGGGAAUAUAGUUCCAGUCAGAACUCAAUGGGCCAUGCCUUAACAGACCAAAUAAGCCAUCGAAUGAGAUAAUAAGCAAUAAGCAAUGCUUUCAUGAUCUGAUUAAAAUUUUGUCCCAUCCACUUAGCAAUGAAAUUCCUUCACCUCUGUCCUUUGUUGAUGAUAUGGAAGAACUUGGAACAUGGAAAACUGUGUUUUAAUAUGCUCUCAUAGUAAGUAUUGUUAGAUCUUUAUACCUCCCUAAGUUAGUGGUGACACAUGCUUAAGACGUGGUUGGUGCAGUAAGGCAUGUGUUAUGUAGCACCUACCUGGGUUGGCACAGCAAUGAAAUUUUACAUUGUCAAGAAUAAAACAACAUGAAGUUAACUCCUAAGGAGUAUAAUAACUAGGUAACUAGGUAGCUAGCUAAACACAGAAGCAUCCAAGAGAAGUCAUGUAGGAAUUUGGUAUUAAAAGAAUUAGACAAGACAGUCAACUUAUCUUCUUGUCAAAACAAUUCAAUGGUCAUUUACAAACUAUUUGCAUGAAUUUUCAUGAUCAAUAUAGCUAACUGCCUAACUCCAAAAUUCUUGAAUAUGCACAGCAUGGCAUGAGCAUCUUCAGGCUCCUAUUAUAUACUAGGAAUGCAUUAAACAAGCCCACUAAACUCUUAUGACUGUGUCAGGGUUUGUGUUAGGACUCUAGCUAGGAGAGUCCUAAUUGAGAGGGGCAUUCAUGUAGGAGGUUUUUUCUUAGAGAAGAANNNNNNNNNNNNNNNNNNNNGAAUCUGCAAGGGUUCUAACAGUUUGUAAUUGUAGAUUGGAAAAAGACUAGUCUAACAGCCAAAGACCAUGUCGAGUUCUAAUCUCCCAUUAUUAACCUUCAUUCCUCUCAUUUUAGGACAAAAAUGAUACAUUCACGAUGUUUGUAGCCUCAUCCUUUCACGAUAUGAUACAUUCACAAAUAGUCUACGCUAUGUACUCUUGCCAGUAGGAAAACUGCUAAAGAAGCCAACGAAUUCGAAGUACUAAGACAUAUGAAUCUACAAGUUCAUAACUCAUCAUGAUAUUGUGCUGAUAACUUAGUUUCUAGUGUUAACUGUUGAUCAUUAUAUGAUUUGCUAAGUAGCUAACUUAUCUUUUUUAUUAGAACCUAUUUCAUUUUAUUGCACUUGAUGGGUUCAGGUUCUCUGAGGAGGAAAGGUUGUUAUCUGAUAAUCAAUCUCAAGCAUGGUAUGUUCUUCUAUUAUUUUUUUCUCUUUGAUAUUAUGGAACUUGGUUGUGCUUACAUCUGAUAUUUAUGAGGGUUCUUUGAUACUUGUCCUGUUUGUACAGCUGAAACUAGUUUAGUUUUGCUCAUUGAACAAAAUAUUUCUUGUACAUCUAAUGUGUAGAAAAAAAAUGCACAUCCCCUUUUAUCACCUCUAAUUUCUCAGGAAUCAUCAUAAAGUUGGAAUUUGGAAAUCUUGUAAAUGUCCUCCAAAGUAAAUAAAACUCUAUGAAUUCCUUUCUGGAUAAUCGUAGUUAUGAUUUGUUGGAAUUUCCAGUCCCAACAGAAACUACAUACUUUAUGGAUGGAUUAAUUAGCAAGUGCAGCAUGGAUUGGCAAAACAAGAUAGACUUGCUAUAAAUCAAGGUCUAUUUUUCCCUUUUAACGAUGAAGAAUAAAGUAUAUUCAGAAGUACUCAUUGUGAUGAUUUGAUAUUUGAAGUUAUUGAACCUUAAUCAAAACCUUAGUUUAAUCUUGGUUAAGACGACUUCUACUAGCACACAGUGACACCAUGGGCAUAUAUGAGUGGAUAAAUUGCUCGUACUUUAUUAAUUUAUAACUUAGUGCUAUUUUAUGCCUUUGGUUGUCUUUACUAUCUUUAUCCAAAUUCUUCUGUUGUUGCAUUGUCAAAUGAUCUUCACUUGUGGAUUUGUAUGCGAAAAGAUAAGGUGUGAAAACUUUUUAUCUUCUUAAAAUAUUUUUUUGGGGUACUUCAUAGGCUAUCAGUGCCAACCAAGGGUUAUUAUUUUUUGUUACCUAGUUGUGCCGAUCAGCAUAUAUCAACGUUGCUCUAGCCAUAUGCUGGCUUUUCUAGUAUGGUUGACAUGCUUGUGCUGAUUUUUUUUAGGUAAUAUGUUGAAACUUAUGUUUUCCAUGCCCAUCAACAUGGUGAUCCUGAUGACCAACUACUAUGUAUAGUUAAUAUUUAUUGGUAAAAAAUCAGUUGUUUGAUAUAUGGGUUUGAUUGAUAAUAGUUUCAUUAUAUGAUUCACCAAACAAAUGGAGGAAUAGUAAAUUGAACAUUGCUUCCAUCUGAAAGUGCAAGUACCUUGACUUUCACCAAAUAAAUGAUGCUUUUUGGCAAGUACAAAGUUCCCUGAACUUCAUCAUCAUACAUCUUGUAACGUAUUCAGGGGUUUUCUUAAAUUGCCUGCAAAAUGUUUUGCUGUUUUGACAUCUUAAUUUCUCCUUAUAUUAUCCAGAAUUACAUUAUUGGAGCAUUCAAGCCACCAUGUAACAUUACAAUCUCAUUUGCUGAUGGGAAAACCCGAAAAAAGGUAAAACAAUGUUUAUGUUUAGAAUAUCUGAUUGAUAUUUAUUUGUAUCAACCCUAUGCUUGAGUACUUUCAGUCUCAGUACAAGUUAAACUUACAGUAUGUUCUCUUGUGGUGGGGAUAUUUUCGUAUUUGUACAGGCUUCUAUAAAGAAGGAAAAUGGACAGACUGCAAUGGUUCCACUUUUCCAAAGCCUAGAAAACAUUGUAGGGGAGGUACUUUACAUACUUUUGAAGAUUUUAGUAUUGUUUGUUUUCACAGCACUACUAUACAGUGACAAUUUUUGGUAUGCAAAUAAUGUAUGGAUAAAUCAUAGCGGUAAAUCCAAUAUGCAGGUGUCUAUCGAACCUGUUCAAGGAAAAAAAAUUGAACAUACUGGUGUGAAAAUCGAGCUUCUUGGUCAGAUUGGUAUGCCUCGUUUAACCAAUUAAUUCUAUGCUAGUAUCAAUAAACAGCUUGAUUGCUAAUGCUACUGUGAUUGUGAUAUCGUUAUGUAACAAAUCGAGAAUAACUGACUCUAGCACCUAAUGAUUUUGGCCUACUAUUUUUAGUUUUUGUUUAAAAUGUUUAAAAUUAAAAACUGCAGUAGAAUAUAUUUUUGGUGACUUCAUUUCUAUAUUUUGUUUCUUGGAAGUAAAACUACGAUUGUCUAGUUCUCAGUGAGUUAAGAACAUAACUAGCAAACAUGUUUAUAAACUUCAAAAACAAAAUAAAAAUGAAAAACGAUGUUUUCACUUUUCACUUCUCACCAUCAAAACCUUCAACAUCAAAAAUAGAUCUUAGGUGGAUUUUUUUUUUCAGUACUAAGUUAGCAGCUUCCAAAAGAAGUAAACUCAUUCAAGAAUCUCUUUUUUUUCUUAUUAUUCCUUUUCUUUUGUUUUUCUUUUGCAUAGUCCAUAGGAAAACUGAUGGCCUUGUCACCCUCAAAGCAAAGAAUAGACAUAAAAGAAAAGAUAAAUAGCAUAGUGCACAUGCUUCUUGUAUAGAAAAACACCAAGAGACGUAUAAAUACUCUGAUAUAUGGAAUGGUUUAGAAUUUGUUUUGUUCCUUUUUUCAAGUAUGUUCUUUUUUUCCACGGUUAUCUGGGAAAAGGCAGGCUAGCUGGUUACUUGCUGAAGCCAACUAUAGUGAUUAACAACAACCUCUACAAAUUGAAACAUUAUUUGGAGUUAUUAUCAAUUCAAUGUUUCUGUGAUAAGAAUUGUGUGUAGUUUAUUGCUUUAAGUACAUAAGCAUUCCACUUGAAAAGUUGGAAGAGAGGAAGAAAGAGCAAGUCUAUGUUUUUUCCUUUUUCUUUUUUGGGAUACUUGCUGGGUCCAACUAUAGCUAUUAGCAACUACCUAGAGAAAGUGAAAAUGAUCGUUGGACUUAUUAUCUAUUUACUGACUGCUUGUUGUGCUUAACUAUCUGUAACUUGUUACUUUAGUUACAGUAGCUUUUUGCGUCGCUCUAGUUCCCUAGAUAACAUUGGUAUAAGAGCCUUACUGCCAUGCUUGCUUUUCUUGGUCUAAACUAGCGCAGAUUUCUUUGCAGUAUCAGAAUAAGAAUCUCCUAAGAAUUUACUUAAUUAGAGAUAACUAAAAUAUGCAUACAUCCACAAUAUGUCCAUGUAACCAAAGCAAAGUGUUAAUGUUGUAUUUAGAUGUUUUGAGCAUUUUCUGCUUUUCUUUUACUAAAAUAUUGCCUUUGUUUUCCUUAUUUUGUUUUCUCAUAUUCUUGCAGAGCUAUAUUUUGACAGAGGAAACUUUUAUGACUUUACCUCUCUAGGUUAGUUGGUAAUUUAAUUUUUAUUACAUGUCAUUUAUGUUGCAAAGCCAUCAAAUGGGUCUGAGUGCAUAUUGUCAAGCAUCGAAAUGCAUGAAUAGGUGGCAGCAAAUAAUAUCCUUUUUUUUAAUAUUUGCAAGAGACAGUUAUAGCCUCAAUUUACUAAUGUAAACAAAUUCGUCAACACCUAUAAAAUUAGAAAAAGACAAAAUAAAUAAAUGAAUUCUUAAAUACAUCGUCAAUUCCUUUCACUCUUCUAUAUAUUUUUGAAAAGGUGGAUGUUGAGGCCAAAUUAGCGGAAAUGGUUAAAGGCUAUUGAUCACAAAGGGAACAUAACCAAACUGUGUUUAGGAUCCAGAAGUUCAAGAAUAAGAUAACAUGCCAGUGAAAAAACUUUUGAUCUGAUAUUUUUCUAGCAUUUUGAACUAAUUAUAGUAACUUAUUUCCUGUUUUUUGUUCGUGUCUUUGUUCUAAAAUAACUCAAGCCAAAAUUUCCAUGUUUUUUAUCAAGGUCUAACCACCUAAGAGUUAAAAUUUGAGAGGUUCUGCAUGUAAUUUGAGUUACUAGGACAAGGUAUAUGGUUUUAAUUCUAAUGUGAAACUACAUAAGUAAAACUUUUCUUUUAAAAAGUUAAGAACAAUGUGCCUAAGUAUGAACUUUUAUGCAGAGAAUUGAUUAUAUUUAAAUUCUAAUAACAUGAUAUUAUUUACAGUGCGGGAGCUUGAUAUUCCUGGUGAUAUAUAUGAAAGAAAAACUUUCCCAUUUGAGUUCUCAUCAGUUGAGAUGCCCUAUGAGUCAUAUAAUGGUAUCAAUGUGAGGUUAAGGUGAGCAUACCUUUCCUUGUUGCUGAUACCUUAGUAAAUAAAUUUAACAUGUUUUCCAGUAAUCAUGUAUUGAGCUAGUAUCUUUUACCAAUGCCAUCCUUGUACAGAAUUAUAUUUAGGGUCUUUACCGACAAGUUAUACAUAGUGAAUGGAAAUGAAUAGAGCGGACACCUAGAGUGUUGCAAUUAAGUUCUUUUGUUGCUUCAAAAGACAAUUUGAAUCCUGAUUUGUUUUGAUUCUAAUAUGACAUUCUUUAUUGUUGAAUGGAAGGAUAUUGCAUUCAGUUUGAAAUUGAAAGUGCUUGGUCUUGGGCUUGGUUCAUUAUCUACCAUCACUUAUCUGAUUCUAUAAUUUACACUUUUUUAUCCUAGAUCAAAAUGCAAAUUUUAUGAUCUAUACUAGUUUGGAAAUGCUUUAAGGGUAUAAAUGACAAUUAAGACAAGCCAAAUAGUAAAAAGUUGGUGAAGAGAAUGAAAUUGAUUCUAUUAUUGUAGCAAGAAAGUUAUUUCACAACAAGCUAGGAUUAGCAUGGAUUGAGGAUGAGAGAAAGAAAAUUAAUUUAGGUGAUCAGACAACUCCAUGGAACUUAAGUGAACCAGUAAAGAAAAGUCAACAUCUUUAAAUUAUACAUGUUCCUUGAAAAUUGAGAAUUGUUGUCGCAGACUUUAGUAAGGAAGUGUGAGACAGAAUGUGAUAACUCUAAAAUAAUUAUAAAAUAAUCAUGUGUGAUAUAUCAAAAUGUCAAGAAAUAUUUUUUGUAACUGUUUGAAGAGUUGAAGAUAAAUUUUUGAUUGAUCGAUUUACUCUUUUAAGAUAUUAUUUUUUAUACUGUUCUGAAUUGUUUGCAGCAUUCUGUCUUGAUCUCUUUCCCCAAUGAAAGUUGCUACGUGAAUUUAAUCAUGUUUGAGUUUUAGUCCAUGUUGACCCUUUUUACACUAUAAGCAUUUGCUUCUAGAAUUUUGGUAUUAUUUGGGACAACAGCUACCUUGAGAGAUCAAUGUGUCGGCAUGUUUGAUAUCAGUGACUGACAAGCAGCAACCAUAUCUCCUACUAUAUUGCAGGUACAUUUUGAAAGUGACAAUCAGUCGGAACUAUGUAAGCAACAUUGUCGAGUACCAAGAUUUCUGGGUAAGUUCUUUCUAUCAUCAUGGUUGUUAAACAUUUGGUAGCUUAAAAUGCAACAUUUCCAUAUUAGAACUGAUCCUUUAUGCCCUAAUUUCUUGUUAAAAUAUGGAGAGGCAUGCUGAAAACAAACUGAAAUUUGACGAUUCAGAUGUCUGGUACCACAAGUAUUUUUUCAUCCUGCAAUAUGUAAAUGCUGAAUGCCAUGCGUGUUGACAAUCUGAAAAAUUCAUGUUCAAGAUAACAAAUUUCAAUUUGAACAUGCUUCCAAAAUAUAGUGGGAUGGACUCUUGUUGGUACACGACUGCACAUGUAUUAUACAAAAAAUCAAAUGCUAUGAGACAGUAUGUUAAUCAGACAAAAUCUUCAGCGGUACAUCUAGUCAUAGCAGAUUCUAGAUUUUGUUUAUUCUAUCAUGCUUGUGUUUUCUUUGAAUAUUACACUGCAUCACAGAAUUUCCUUCCCAACAAUUUUCCACAUGCUGAUCUCUUACAAAACCGAUAAAAGGUAAAGUCAGUUUUGUGAGAGCUGGUUGCUCAUGGGCAAUUGUUAGGAUAACUCAUUUUUUAUUAGUUUUCUUUUAUGAAUUUGGUGUUUUCUCCAUUCCUUUGCAUACUUUGACUCAUGUUGUUUAAUUUGUUAUAAUAUCAGGUUCGCAACUAUACCCCAGCACCAACAAUUAACAAUAGCAUUAAGGUCAGUGUAUCUUCUGGAUGGUAAUAGCAAAAACUUUGACUUAGUUAUGGUAUUAUGUGCUCUCUUAUCCACAUAUGUAUCUGUGGAAUCAGUGUAUUUUCAUAUAAUAUGGAUUGUACUACUGUGUAUAAAGGAAUUGUGUUGUGAUUUAAUGCCCCUUAGACUUCCUGCACAAUAUAUGGGAAGCGACAAUCAUAGAGUAGCAAGUGCUGCAUGGAGUUUCUAGAACCUACACAUUAUUCAACUAACAUUGACAUAUAAUAUAGGUGACAAGUGAAACAGCCAUCAUUGUGGUUUUGAAUUUAUUUCAUGUGACUAUCACAUUGAUAAACAAAAAAGCCCUGUGUUCCAAAUAAUCGUAAGUACUUUAUGUGGGUAAAGCAUGUCACUGUUUUUUCUGUCAGACGAAUUUUAACUUACUACUAUCUAUUCAUCUUGUAUGCAUCAAGACUAGGUAUCUGAUAUUGCAUUUUACCAUUCCGGUUCAUUACAUCAUUAUGAUGUCUUAGCUAUGACAUCCUUUACAAAGUACCAGAACAUGUAUGGAAAAGGUAGUCUUGCAAAAUGAAAAUGAACAACCUCAGUCCAUUAACCCAUGCAUCUAUCUUCAAAUAUUAAUUUUUUUCUUCAGUGUUUUGAAGUUAUAACCAUUCUGUCUUAGGUCCUCAUUUCCACUAAGAUGUCAUUUAUUCCCGUUACAAGGUUUCAAGUACAUGCUACACCGUUCGAUGCAAACUAGUAGUUAUCAGUCCAAUGACCUACUGGAUUUUGUCUAAAUGCAUCUCGGUAUACCACGUGGUAAAGUUAUUGGUGUUUAGCUGUAUGAAGCAAUAAGCCUACGGUACAACAAGUUCCACAUGUCCUAUACUUUUGAUCAGGGUUCUUAAUUUCGAUGUGUACCACCUGGUACGGGCGGUACAUAUCGGUCCAAGAGGAUAUUGAUAUGCAGACCGCCCUCUACCAGGUGAUACCAAUGUUUUGACCUCGUAUCGAGCGAUACAAGAUAUAUACCGUCUUGUAGUUGUCGAAAUCAAAUCGUUACCGAGGCAUAUCGGUUGGUACACCCUGGAUUUCGAUCGUUGCCGAGGUGUAUCGAUUGGUAUGCCCCAGCAUACCAUCGGUAUACCUCAGUACGUAUUGUAUCGAGCAGGGCUCGGUACACUAGUACGGACUGAAAUUGAGAACCUUACUUUUGAUUAGUAAUGAAUUUUUUAACCUUAUAGUUUCUUGUUUUUUUUCUUUUAUCAGCAAUCACAGAUAACUGGUGUCUCUGUGUGAAGAGUAAAAUAAAGUCGAAUUAUGACAAGAAAAUGUAGUUGAGUGAUCCUGAAGUUUUUCUUAAAGAAACCUAAAAAAAGCAAUUAAAUUUAAUUGUCCUAGCCUCCUAGGAACUAUCAGAGGUCUGAAUUUUAUUAAAAGCAGUUGUAAGCAUGCCAUAUUUAGUUUCUCCAGACCUUUAGUUAGUUGAUGUUUCAACUUGUAUGGUUAUUUUUGCAGAUGGAAGUUGGCAUCGAAGAUUGUUUGCACAUAGAGUUUGAAUACAAUAAAAGCAAGUAAGUUUUAGUUAUAUACUUAACUACGUUUUUGCUAUUAGGUGUAAGUAUAGGUAUUUGCUUCGCUGAAAUGAACUUAUUCCUUCUAGGUAUCACCUGAAGGAUGUUAUAAUUGGGAAAAUCUACUUUCUUCUCGUAAGAAUCAAAAUAAAGAAUAUGGAACUUGAGAUCAGACGCCGAGAAUCAACUGGUUCAGGGCCCAACACAUAUGUUGAGACAGAGACGCUAGCUAAAUUUGAGUUAAUGGACGGUGCUCCUGUUAGAGGUACAUAUAUUGGACUAGCUCCGUGUCCUUACAUUAUUCUGCAUUUUCUUCCAGAAACUUUGGUUGAGCAUAUAAGUUCAUGCCAUGUUUUCACAGUUCAGACUGAUUGCUUAAUCAACAUAACAUCUAUAUGCCUGUGUCGAUGUCAUUAUCCUAUAUUUUGAAUCUUUAAAUUCUUGGGACAAAAAUUUGCAGUACAUGCUUAUUCUUGGAGCAACGUCAUAACUGUCUAAUUUUUCUUUGAGUUCUUGGUGACACCGUUAGUUUGUCUUCUUCUUUUCUCUUUUCCCGCUACAAGCGACAGGUACUUGUGCAUUUUCAGAUGCUAUUCACUUUCUUUGGGUAACUAAAAAAAUUAUAAGCUUACUAGAAAGCUGUACAAUGCAAAUUGUGUAGUUAUGUACAAAAGCACCAGAGUGAGACUCACACCACUACAAUCCCAAAGAAGGCCACUGACAUCCAACUUUUCUUUUCUGUAAGCCUAUACACAAUACAUUAAUCCAAACUUUUCUCAGACAAUUGAAAGAUCGUUCCACUUUUAAUUUGCAGAGAGGAAGAUUUAUCCUGAUUAAGCUUACUCCAUUCUGCAUUCUACCUGUUGUACUCAAAGCAGAGAGUAAAGCAUUAAUCUUAUUCUGGUGCCAUACUAGUCUUUUUUAAAAACCAGGGAAUGAAGCAUUUGAAAUACUGCAGCAUGAAAAGGAGAGCUGUAAUAUAUCCUGAAGUCAGGAAUCGAAAACCUUACUUUUAUCAAUCUGAAAUAGAUGCCAAAGGCCCAAAGUGAAUUUGUAUAUGCUUGGUUUCAAUCACACCAAAUCUCUUUGGAAUUUGAUGUGAACUUCCUCUCCUUUCCAUGAUUAUUGGACAUUCUUAUUCAUUAAUAUCCUUGGUAUAUGAACUAUAAUUUUCUUUUGUAGAUUCACUGUCAGUUUCAGUUUUAAUGUCUUUCUUUCAUUCCUUUUUUUUUUCCCCAGGGGAAUCAAUCCCUAUAAGGUUGUUUCUGAGCCCUUAUGAGUUAACACCUACAUAUCGCAACAUCAACAACAAGUUCAGUGUGAAAUAUUUCUUGAAUCUUGUUCUCGUGGAUGAGGAGGAUCGACGGUAUUUCAAGCAGCAAGAGAUCACCAUAUAUCGCCUCCAGGAGACUUCUUGAGGUUUAUGGUCAAGAGAAGCUUCAGAGUUUGUAAAAGAAACUACCAAUGGUUCUGAUUUAACUAGUGCAUCAACUUUUCUUGAAGACUCCGAAUUGGAUUGUCUUUGCUCAUGUUUUGCUAAUCAACUUGUGUGACACUCGAGCUUCCUCGUGACGCCAACUGCAGACCCUUGUAUUAUGACAAUCUGCAAGGCUGCCAGCCAAAAUGCUUAUGAUUUGUGAAUGCUAAGAUUUUCUUCGCACUAUCAUCGACAUCUUUCCAUUGUGAAUAAAACAUUCUACAAUAGUUUGAUAAAUUUUGUCAUUCAUAUCGGUUUAUUUACGUUGACUUGGUUAAAGCAAACCAUAUUUCUUGAUGCAUAAUCUUGUUUUGCUCAUUUGCUGUCAGAUCUGAUGGAACUGCAACUGCUCUCUCCCAUUUUACUUCUGUGAGGGUGAAGAAUUGAAAUUACUAUCGGGUGGUAUACGAUGAAGUGAUUCCAAAUAAUGACAGGUGGGAGAUACUUUUGUCAUGUCGAUGGAUCGGAUGUGAUUCCAAAUUAUUUAUCCCGUGAUCACAUUGAUGCCGGAGACCUAAUUAUAACUGCACAUAUCCGUCAUUCCAACUCUCCCAACUAUUAGACAUAACACGAUAUUAAAGUUUGUAAGAACUGAAAUUUUCAUAAAUUGUCACGUAAUAAAUAAAAAAACCUAUAGUUAAAAUAAUUAAUAUUAGUGUUAAAAUUAUAAAUAUUCUUAAUUUAACUAAAAAUGUUAUGCUUUAUAGAUCUCACCGAUGGAAAAAAAAAAUUCAUACAAUCGAUCCUAAAUAAUUAUAGUAUAACCUAUUGCUUCUUUAAUAAAAUUUGAAUGCUGACAUUUAUGGAUUAAGCUUCAUUUAGCUGAUUUUAAAAUAAUCAAUCUUAACUCAAAAAAAAAAUUUUGUUUUUGUGCCGCAAUAACUUAUAAUUUUCCCAUAAUUGUCUCAUCUACUUGAUACGAAGGUUACAAAAGCCUCGAAUCGUAUGCUGCGGUUUCAUUUUCAGAUGUACUCAACAUGAUAGAAGAUCACAUUCGGCAACAGUGACUUGCCAAGAUGGGCGCACCACAACUGGCAUGAUCUUUUUCGAUUCUAAAUUGUUCGUUCUUGGAGUGAGACCUCUUUCGACUCUUCUGGAGAAGCCACAAGACGUGACUUCCACCAGAAAGCGCGUGCAUUUUGAAUACGGAUCGCAGCAGAAACGUCACAACAUAGGAAUCAGUGACUCGACCAUUGCCAUUGCUUUUCUGAUGUCGGUGUUGCCCGGUGCCGAACUAUUAUUCAUGGAAGAAGGAAGGGAACGAUUGGAUUGGAUAAACUGUGAAAGGGAGAGAGAAGCCAAGUGAUCGGUCCAGCAGCAGUCCUACCACCGAAAGAGGUGGGUUUUAGGCAUCGGAAGUCGUCAAAGUCUUCGGUGGCCGUCGUCUCUGUAAAGGUGUGGUAGAGACGAACACAGCAGUAGAUUGAGAUUCCAUGACAUAUAUCCUCCAAACAACAUGGAUUACGACGUUGCUGAUGCCACCACGCAUGAUGUGCAUGUUGGAAGUCGCAAUGGUCCCAUGAAGGCAUCAAAAGCAACUUCCAAAGGCAGCGGUUGAUGUGUGCGUGUGUGUAUAUAUAUAAAUAUAUAAUAAUAAUAAUAAUAAUAAUAAUUUAUAUUUUUAAUAUUUGUACCCUAACAUAAAUGAGAACAAUUACAAAGAUUUUUAUGUAUAUAUAUAUAUAUAUAUAAUUUAGUCUUUAAAAGAUUGCAAAGGGAGGGUAAUAAGGAAAGAGAAAAUAUGCUUUGAAGGAAAUAACACCCAAAGAAGUUGAAAUCACAGUGAGUCACGUGAAAGGUGAGCGAAUAGAAUUGGGUGUUGACAGGACAAAGAGUUGGGAGGGAAUCCACCGAGGAAGGAGUGCGCCACCACCGCCCAACUUUGAAGAACCCUAAGCUUCUUCCCCUUUUCGAUGAGUUCCAUCAAACGCUCCCUAUCGAUCGCCUCGGCCGGUGUUGGAACUCUAAGCAGCAACUCCUCCAAGCUCUUAGGAUCACAUUUUAUUUGCUCUCCUUCCCCCAUCAUCACAUUGUUUGUUGUGUCUAUGAUCAACAAACCCUACUUUAUGCACUUCAUAUAAAUAGUAUCUAUCCAAAAAUUGAUGGAGGUCCAAAGUUAAAUUCAUUAGACAUUGUCCAUUUGAUUCUAAAUGUAAAUAGCAAGUAAAAAGAAAUCAAGCAUAUGCAUGAAGUGGAGGGUGGAAAGGGUAAUAUUUUUUGUAAGUAAUAUAUUUUGAUUUGAUCCAUAGUAUUUAUUAUACAAGUAUCAAAACAAGUAAAUUUAUUUAUUUUUUUGUAUGUAUAAUCUCUUCGAUAGUUGGAAUAAAGAUCAAACCAUAUAAUUUCAUGUAUGAAAGAUUUUGAAUUAGUUUGAUGUGCACACAAGUCAUAUGAAUUUUAAUUCUUAAAUAUUUACAAAUUAUAGAGUUUGUAGAAUUUAUUAUCGAAGUGUAAUGAAGGCGGUCUCAAUCUUUUCUCAACGAUUGAAACUUAAUUAUCAAUUCAUGUACAAAACUCUUUUAUUUCUUAAGAAAAAAGAUCGAUCAUUAGUUUUAUACAUUCAUGUACAAAGUGUCAUGGUGAGAAUUUGAAUUAUCAAUGUGGAAAAAAUAAACCCAAAUAACACACUACCAGACUAUUUGAUUUUGUGAAGAGAUUGAUCAUAACGUUUUAAAUUAUAACACAUAAGAAGAACUUAAAUUUGAUCAAAUCUAUCAUUGCGUGAGUCUAACAAAAAUGAGAAUGUGAUGCACUCAUACAAUUAUUCUCCUCGUAAUUGAAAUGGAAGAAGAAAAUAAAAGAAAAAAGUUAAAAGAAGAGAUAUACCAAUUGGAGGAGGGAAAGGUUCAUUAAGGAUAUUCUUGGACUAAUAUGCAAUCACUGAAAAAGGAGAAAAAAACUAUUCUCAAAAUUCUAAUUUAUUUUUUAUAUUGCAAAAUAAUACUAUAGCUUCCGAGAAGCAAUUUUUCUAUCAGAAAAAUAUAAUUAUAUGUUGAAAUAAAGCCUUUUGGUUGAAAGAGUUACACAUAAAAAAAUGUAAUUUACAUUGAGGUAUGCUACCUUUCAUAAAUGUCAAGAAAAAGAACGCUGAUAUUAUUAUUAUAAUAUUAUACAUGUUUAUAAUAUUAAAUCGAAAGAUUAGUAUGUAUGGCCUAUAGAAUUUUUGGACUAAUAUACCAAAAGACAAAAAGUCUUUCAUCAUAUAAUUCAGGAAGAGUAUUAAUUACUUGGUUAUGCAUGGUGCUAAUGAGUUGAAGGUCAACUCCAGCUCCAAAUGAUUGCAGGCAGAUAGGUGAUGCACUUUUGAUCUUUGUCUUCCACUAGCCCCAAAGAGAGAGAGAGAGAGAGAGAGAGAGAGAGAGAGAGAGACCCAAGUCAACUGUCUUAGGAAGCAGAUAAGAAUUGUCACAUGGGUUCGACUUCCUUCAAGGAUAAAGCCAACCACCACUUACCUAUAAAAUAAUGGACUCAAUCCGAUCGAUCAUAUUUAGAUUAAUUAAGAGCCAAUUUCUAUUAGAUUAUACAUUGAUAAUCGAUAUAUUAUUUUUGUUUCAUCGAGCAUAGUGUUGAAAAUGAGAAUAGCGAGUUUCUAUCUUAUUGCAAGAUGAGGAUAUUUUCUUUUUAGAGUAAAUGAUAAACAUCGCCAAAUUCUUGGAUGGAUUAAAAAAUCCAAGAAAUGUUGGUUUCACUAAUGUAUUACUUCUAUUUGAUUCUAAUAUUAUAAUUGAGGCUAUUAGUUGAGCUAUUCCUUUUUGACAAAUUACUAAUCAUAUUCGAUAAGUUCGACAUGUCUAAUUUUUUCGAAUGCCGUCGACUAUUUGAUUGAUUAUUUUUGUAAAAUAAAAUUAUCAUAAUUUUUCUAUGCUUAUAUACUUUGAUGAAAAUGAUAUAUUUUGUACUCGACUUUUUACUUAAUAAAGUUUCAGAAUAAAUGAUCUAAAAGUAAAAGAAUAAAAUAUAUUUUUUCUUUUAAGAUUAAUAAUAAUAAUAAUAAUAAUAAUGAUAAUAAUAAUAAUAUUAUUAUUAUUAUUUUUAUGUGGGUGAUGGAUUCCGUAGCACAAGAUCGUACUCAAAUCUUCGAAUCGCCCACUCUCUCUCGCUCUCUCUCUAUCUCCUCUUCGUCUAUAAAUGGGGAAGCCUCUCGCUCCAAAGGCCACAGAGAAGACCACAAGCCAACUCAUCCCCUACUGCGGAGAAGAGAUGCAAGAGGACAAGAAGACGAAGGUGAAGAAGGGAUCGCUCACCGUGAGGGUGGGUCUCGAGGACGGAGAAGACGGUGGUGGCACUCGUAAGUUCGUCAUCCCUAUCUCUUACCUCUACCACCCCCUCUUCAAGCGCCUUCUCGAGUCGGCUCAGGAGGUCUACGGCUACCACUCGUCGGGGCCGCUCAAGCUUCCCUGCUCCGUCGACGACUUCCUCCAUCUCCGGUGGCUUAUCGAGAGGGAGUCGUCGCACCGCUCUCACCAUGGCGUCCACCACUCCUUCUCCUUGCACUCAUGCUGAGAAGACAUGCAUGCGAUCUUUUUGUAGCUGUAUACUGAUCAGACUCGGGCGUCGCACCCUCCAUCCUUAGAACAUGAUUCGAGUUUUCUGAGGUUUGUCUGUGGUGUUUUUGCUUGGAGAAAGGAAUUCAUGGUGGAUUCAGAGGUGAAGUGAUCGACUUCCUCUAUGCUUGUCUAAGAGGCAACCUCACAAAUUGGUGUAAUUGAUCUAUGGAUGAUGAGAAUAAAAAUAAGUCAUAUAUAUAUAUAUAUAUAUAUAUAUUUAUUUAUUGGAAGAUGCAUAAUGCUAAUUCUACCCACAAAAAUAAUGUAAAUUCUAAACUAGAAAGAGCUUCUAGAGAGGGAUUUAAAUCACAACACUACUAAGUUACUGCAAGCAUUUAUGAAGAAGAAGAAAGAGUUGAACUUGAGCAAUGGCAUCAUACAUUUUUAAGGAAAUGCAGUUGUGGAACAAUUUGGAUUGAGUUUUUUGUGGGUAUGAAUCAUUUUUCUGUAGUUGCUCCCACAAUAAGGGGGAAAUCUGUUCAUCUCAAUUUUAUUCUAUAAUGAUCACAUAAUAUGAAGGGCAAAAAAUAGGAGGCCAAGACAGCAUAGAUUAAAGACCCAGCAAAACAUCACAUCCUAAAUAUGGAUCUCCUUCUUGAGAACAAUGUUCAUAUUAUCAUAGCACAAAAGAAAAACUACUGGGUGAUGCUAAAAGAUAUAGCUUUUCAUCAAAAAAUUACAGCCAGCUGCCAAUUUGAAGCUUCCACCUGCCAUUUCCACACACAGGAAAAUUGCUGUAGGUCAAUCAUGAUGUUGCCAGGUUUUGAGAGAAAUGCACAUCAAGGUGGUGGAUGUCAUGAGUGCUUCAAGACAAUAAUUGGUUGUAUUACAAGGCACAGCUGCUCAGUCGCAAGAUUCCAGGACAAAAGGGAACAAAGACAAUCAACAAAAGUGAAGGUUGAAGAGAAACCACCAACACCUUACAUGGAACAAGUGCUGAUGCCAAUUGUGAACCACAUUACAAAACCUGUUAGUUGGAUCCCAAAUUAUCCUCAGGAACAGUAGUAGUAGUCUCUUGUACUUUUCUGUUGCCUCAUCUGUUUAAUUAAUGCACCAAAAUUAGGCGGAAGACGAGUUCAUAAAAAUGCUACAGCUAUUUGUUCGGCUACAUGUAAAAUGUUAGUCUUGACAAUGUCAGAUGCAUCAAACGAGCUCGCCAAAAAACCACAAGGAAAUUUGCAUGCCACUACCGAGAGAUGAAGAAACAAGACCAUCUAAAACAGGAGCAUGAGCAAAACCAAAGAUGAGGCAAACAAGCAUAGAGUGUGGCUUAAUGGUCUAACAGAAGAGGCCCUAGAAGUGCUUCCGGUUGGGCUGAAGGCAGGAGAAACACCAGGGAGUGUAAACGUUCCUGGCAUCGAAGACCUGGGGGUUGUAAUUGUACCACCUGCUUCGGCUGGCGAUGGUGAUGGCACAAGAAAUGAGUCAUGCAGUACCGUGGUUGGUGGCGGUAUGACCGGAGGAAACUGAUGUUGCCCUGAAUGAGAUAAUAAAACCAAUUGUUGCAUAGUUAUGCAGUUGUCACUUGGGAACUACAUGAAUUGAACAGUACAAACAUGGGAAAGAAGUACAAAGAUUACCUGGACAUCGAGGUUGAAGAGAUGUGCUCAAUCUGCAAAAUUAAUUAAAUAUCAUUGACUUGUUCUAUUAGAAGAAGAUUAUCAAGAUAAAAGAACAAUAGAAUCUGCUUACCUAGUGACGAUUGAUCCAUUAACAAAACCACCAUAAUUACAUGAGGUAACACUACAACCAGCAGCAGUCUGUUGGGAAGUAUAAUUUCCAAGCAUAAGACUACUGUUACUGCAUUGCAUGCUUGAACAUGACACUGCUAGUGAUGCUGGUGUACAGUACAAACUGCAAGAAGUUGCAAUUAAGCUUAAAGUGAAAAAACAAAUUAAAGAAACAAAAAGAGAAAGGGAAAAAGGAAGGUUAAUGAUUACUUGAGAUUUCCAGGUCCACAACUGCAUUGAACACAGUGACUAGCAGUAAUGGCAUAGGUCCCAUUAGCUACAAUCAAGCCAUAAUCCGAGGCAUACUUUGGAAACAUUGACGCACACGCUGUACCCCCCGGCCCCCAAAAAAAAAGAAAGAAAAACUUUAGCACCCUUGAAAAAGUAAUAAAGAGACAAGAUCAACAAUAGAUUCACAAUCAGGGACAACUCUGAAGAUGGAAAAUCAUGGUAACAACAUAUUACCAAAGAAAAAUGACACUAUGGCACAAAAAAAGAAAAUCACUAAAGGGACUACUGAGAGGAGAACCACUUUCAGGAUGUAUGUUACUAUGUUUGAUUUGUAAAACUGCAUAUCUCUAAACCUUUACACAGAAAACACAUGUUCGUUUUUUUUUUGUUGUAAUUUUGGACCUAAACAACAAUAAGCCAAGUCAGACUAUUUAAUACAUGUCACUAAAAGGCCUUUUCAAUGAUCACUGAUCCUUAAUGUUUAUGCAAUGUUCGAUGCAGAUUAGGAAAUAUAAAGAACUUGAAAAGACAAUGAAAAUCCAUACAUUUCAACUACAUAAUAGACAGAUCUUUGGUCCCUGAUAUUCUUUGGGUCAUCAUAUUUCAUAACAUUGCUUUAACAGUGUUAUAGAUCAUCUUCCUAUAUAAGUGAAACAUCAAGAGAACUUCUCAUACUUCCAAGUUCCAAUAUCCUUAGUGGCCAGAAUAGCUUCUCUUUGUUACUUGAAACAGGAACUAGAAAACAGAGUGUUUCCUCUCCUUAACGGUGAUCCCUCAAAAUUCUUCUCGGAAGCAAAUUCCAUGAUAUUGUUGCAACAGAUAUAUCAAUCAUAUUCCAAAAUAACAUGUUUUUUAAUCCAAGAAUCUAUUUCCAUCUUAUCUCAGUCUCUCUGUUGUUGGUGUUUGUAUAUAAAUAAUUCGAGUGUUUGUAUAUAAAUAAUUCGGCUAGAUUUUUGUGACAUUCCAAUGAAGUAGAGUGCAGUUAUUUGAAACGCCAGGCAUGAUUCCAUCAUUAUUGUGUCCUAACAUGCUACCUCAGGCUUAGGAUUUUCUAUUUCCUUCAUAUUCCAUAACAGUGAACAUGUUUACAGAAGACAUGUAUAUCAAUUUAGACACUUGCACGAUAGUAGAUGCACUAGAGGUGGUUAUGUUCAUUUGACAAGUUGGAUUUUAGUCCUAGCCAUUUCCUUCAAGAAAAGGACAACCUAAUGUAUGAGGUUUCUGCAAAACCUUGGGUGCCGAUAGGAUCAAUGUAUAUAACCUUACUGCAUUGCGUGGUUGAACAUGGACCAACUCUGACAAUCAAAGACAUGUAACUUUAUACGAUCUAUGAUUUCUUUCUAUAAUGUUAAGUUCAAGGAAAAAACAAUAUUCUUGAAAUCUUAGCAAACCUAGAGAUCUGGCCACUUCAGUUUCAUGGUUUAAAAGGAGAAGCAUUUGGCUUUAACCUUUGCCUCGCUUCCCUUUAUCCAUGAUUCCUCUGAAAAUUAAAUGUAGGUUGUCUGCUCGGACCACUUAAGAAAGCAUUAGGCUUUAUUCCUUUAAUCCAAAGGGCUAGAAUAUAGUCAAAGUAAUGCACUCGCAUGUUAGGAUGCAAAGGCACGAACAGCAUAAAGUAGCAAAUUGCUUGGUUCGAGUGACACUGCACACUCUCUGUAACAAAGAAUAAUACAUCAAUAUACCUGGAAGCGGUAUGGCGAGAAUGUCCCCCUGCUGGACCGACGGGCUACCCAUGUUGUUCACGUUCAUGAUGUCCGUAACAGUGGUGGAGUAGCGGGCGGCGACGGCGGGCACGGAGUCGCCCUGGCGGACCACAUAGGAGAGGUAUACGGCGGGGAGGAAGUUGUCGGUUGUGUUGAAGCAAGUGCAGGGGAGGGGGAUGACGAGGGUGCGGCCGGCGUCGAGGGCAGAGGGGUCCUGGAUGUUGUUGGCCUCCUGGAUCUGGUCGGAGGAGGCGAGGCCGCCGUAGACGGAGGCGGCGAUGGAGGCGAGAGUGUCGGCAGGGCGGACGGUGUAGCGGGUGGAGAGGGAGCGGCGGAUGCCGCCGGAGCAGGAGCAAGCGGCGGGGACGCGGAGGAAGAGUCCGGAGGGGAGGAUGCGGUUCUCGACGUCGGGGACGGAGAAAUCGACGGAGUUGGCGGCAAGGAGGGCAACUGAGUCAACCUGGAAGAGGGCAGCCACCUCGGAGACCUUGAGGUCGGCGUAGAGCCUGUAGCCGAGCAGCGCCGGGCAGGAGUCCGUUCCCGUGCACGGCUCGAUCGUCGACUUGGCGAUGGCCGUGCCCGCAAGCAGAUAGAACGGCAAGAAGAAGCAGAAGAAGAAGGGCAGCAGCAGCAGCGGCUUCUCCCCCAUUUCCUCUUCAAAAUUUCCCCUUUCUUUUGCUCUCGCUUAUUUCUCUUCGGUGGCAGCACCAAAAGAGAGGAGAGAGAGAGAGAGAGAGAGAGAUGGGAGGGGAAAGGGAAAGAGGUACGGUCGGGAAUACGAGGCAACGGUCGCAAGAGAGGGAGAGAGAGAGAGAGAGUGAGUCGGAGUCGAAGACAUGCUUAAUGUUUUCAGGGCAGUUUUUUAUUUGAAUAUAAUUUUUUCCUUUUCUUUUGUGGUAAACUUCGCGGAUUAGGUUGGGCUGGGCUGGGCCGAGAACAUGGGCUAAUGGAUUGCUUGAAAUGGACUAAUCAAGAACUCGUGUGCGUGAUUUGGACUAAUCGAAUCGUGACUCAAUCUGUCUCAAUUAUUACUUAAAUUCAUUUAUCGUUCAAUAAUAAUUCAAUUUCUAAUGUUCAGAUUCAUAUUACUUAAUAUUUUUUAUUUGUAUUUAAUUUUUUUGUCAUGCUAUAUUGAUUGAUUACGUGAGAAUUACUUGAUUGGUCAUGACCAUACUGCAAUCAUGCGUCUACAUCAAAUCAAAUUGCACCUUUUCUAGUUCUUUUUUCACCAGACGUUGAAUCCAUGAUUUAGAUAAUAAUAGUUCAAUCUUAUAUAUAUAUAUAUAUAUAUAUAUAUAUAUAUAUAUAUGUAUAUAUAUAUUACUAACUACNNNNNNNNNNNNNNNNNNNNNNNNNNNNNNNNNNNNNNNNNNNNNNNNNNNNNNNNNNNNNNNNNNNNNNNNNNNNNNNNNNNNNNNNNNNNNNNNNNNNNNNNNNNUACUAUAUAUAUAUAUAUAUAUAUAUAUAUAUAUAUAUAUAUGUAUAUAUAUAUUCAAACUCAACCAACUAAUAAGUACUUAAUACUUGAAUAACUAUUCAUAUGUAAAGAACUCUUUUCAUAUUUCACUUGAAUAUUUAUUUUACUAUUCAUACUUCAAUGCAGUUGUUUAAGUACGGAAAAAUAACAUGGUAAAUAAUAAAAAUGAUAUUGUUUUAUCAAUAAUAAUAUGAAUUCCAGGCUCCUAUUGAGAAUGGAAGUAAACAGUAGCAUAACAGUGUUGAUCAUGAUACGAAUAAGAAGAGAAAUAGCAAGUCAAACAGAUUGUUCUUACAGAUUAUUCUCAUGGAGGAUUGUUAUGAAGGGGUUCCUUAAAAACUGUUCAUCCCGUUGAGAGAGGAACGAUUAAUAAGCUUCCAUGGAGGGAGUCCAUGGAAUUUGCAUCCCUGUUAUUGGUCAGUGUUGGGGACCUUUGCAUUUGUAUCUGCAGUUGUUGGGAGCUUGCAUGUGUUGGUGAUGGUAGCAAGAGGAGCUUGGAGUGCCAUAAAUUGGUAGGCCUACCAAGAUGUGCUAUAUCACGACCUAGAGGACCAUCUUCAGUACCUGGCCAGCUGCCAUGGCUGUUCAGGAGCUGCUUUUACUAUUGAAAUGGAAAGAAGACCAUGGCCUUCACCCUCUUUAAAGCCUUUGCAAUUACAUGCAUGCGCUGUUACACAUCUCUCUCUCUCUCUCUCCAUGUAUGUUGCUGUUAUGUGUGUCGUGGUGCAGCUAUCAAAGUGACUAAAAAUCUUGGAAGCGAGAAAGUCGCUUCUAUCUCGUUAAAAUCUAUCUAUGGCAUCUCCAUUCACUCCACCCACAUGAACAGCAUUUAUGAGAUGCCAUAUAUAAUCCGAAGAUUGUUGCAUCAUGUCAGAUACGUUUCCCUUCCUUCUCAUCCAAAAGAACUUGAAGUUAAAUUAUGAACAAGGUGAAAAGAAGAGCUCCAAUUAUGAAAAGCAAAUUAUGGCAUGAUUAGUGCUAAAUAAAAACGAAUGUUUGGGGGUAAAAACUAGAGGCAAGUGAUAAAACUAUGAUGCAAAAGAUAUAUUUCAAAUAAUAAUAAUAAUAAUAAUAAUAAUAAAGGGAAAGCCAUAAAAGUUGGGCUCUCAUGGAUUCAAUUCUAGAAGCAAAUGUGAAAUGUUGUUGUAGUUAGAGAGGUCAUAUCCGAAGAUGUUGCUGAAUUACUGAAAGACGAACGAAAAAUUAGCCACAUAUGCAGAAGAGAAAAAGGUCGAAUUCGGUGCAGAAGAACGCAUGCAGAUACGAACAAACAGUGGAUUCAACAUGGAGAACAACAGCAUAUGUAGUUUUGGAACAUCAAGUGUUUUGAAAUCGGUAGCUUUUAGAGUAAACCUAAGACAAGCAUAGGCGGCUGAAAGUUCUUCACCGCUAUAUGUUUUAUAGUUUUCCAGUAAAUUUCUUCCUCAAGCGCACGCACGAGAGAGAGAGAGAGAGAGAGAGAGAGAGACUUGCCUAUCAGAUCCAUGGAGCUCCAACUCCAAUUCCGGAAAGUAUUGUGGGAAGCUGAUCGAUCAGGUGAGCAAAUGUUGGCUGAGAGGAAUGAAGCCUGGUCCGACCUCAUGCAGCCUCAGCUAUGAAACAUAAACAUGUGUGUGUGCUACAUGACCUCGAACCAGACAACAUUCCCCUCAACCCACCUCAACAAGAUGUUGAUUCCAAACCACAAGCUUCGCAUGUAGGAGUGAGACAUAGAGAUGCAAUGCCUGGGCCAUCCAUGGGUCAACCAAGCCUGCUUGAUCUGAUGACAAGAAGAAGAAGAAGAAGAGAGAGAGAGGGAAAGAUGAGGGAAAUGGGGAGAGUGGGUGCAGUGAUUUGUAGGAAGAGAAGGGGGGAAGGGACAGUCCACACUAAUUGCACAAUUUAUUAGCCUUCCCAUUUGGCACGAGCUGCUCUACUCGCCAAUAAAUAUCAUUGCAUCUCCUUCCUCUCCUGUUGCUUUCCUUUCUUUCUGUGAGCUCGUAGAACUGACCUAAACCAAGACAUUAAAUAGCUUGUUCUCUCUCUCUCUCUCUCCCUCUCUCUCUCUCUCUCUCUCUCUCUCUCUCUCUCUCUCUCACACACACACACACACACACACACACACACCUAGAGACCUACACCAGGAAGCUGUAAUUGUCUUUCAUCUCUUAGUAGCCUAUGGAUUCAGCUGCAGUUGCAAGGUCACGUUAACAGGUUUUUGACUCUUUUGCCAGUUCUUUCCCCUUAAGCCGAACUUCUCAAACCUUUCAUCAUUGCCUUAUUAUUUGUUUCCCCCACGGUCUUCGUUGACGGUUCCACUUUCUAUAUGAUUACCGUAUAGCCAUCAACUGAAGACCUCUAAUUAUAUACGUAUCUAUACCUCUAAUAUUCUUAUCUUUAUAUCUUUUUCCUAAAAGACACUAAUAAAUAAGACUAUUAAGAAAAUAUUAUACGGUAAUCAAGUCAACGUGAUUAACAACGACGAUUAACUUUGGAGAAAAGCAAGUGCAAUUGUAUUAUAAAGAGAGGAGAAAGAGCCAAACUUGCAUGGCUCUCUUCUGUGACGUACUUCCACCAUGUAUUUUGUAUUGUGAUACACUUGUAUGCACAGUGAGUCAUGCUGACAUGGUCACCUACGUGGACUACUGUGACAAAUAUGCAUUUUGACAAACGUCCGAAGCGUGUUAGAGGAUAUUAAUAUGCCAUGCCUUCACAAUACAAAUAUAGGUGGAUAUUAAUAUGCCACAUCUUCCAAUUCGCUUUUAGCCUUCUAAGGUAGUUUUUCCUCGUAGGCAUUUUACACUCUAAAGAUGGAUAGAAUAAAGUAAAAAGAAAUAAACAAAUAAAACGAAUACGAUAGCAAAAGAAAAUUCUGAUUAAUUAUGAACUUUUUUUUCUGAAAAUUUUAUCUUUCAAUACCCACGUAAUUUUAUUAUGCAAAACGAGAAACCUAUAGAAAAUGUCUAAAAAUAUCAUGCCAAAGCUCCAUAAACUGAAGCAAUUAUAAUCUUAUUGUGCAUUUUAAAAUUCAUUUAGGCAGCUAAAGGAGAAAAAAAAAACUCAUCCAACCUCUUCACCAACCUGUAUUUCGAACUCAACUCAUAUUCCAAGUCCCCUAAAUAUCAAUGAGAAAUCAUUUCAGAAAUUGACUACCAGCAUUACAGAUCUGGAGCCAGAUGUGAUCCGUCUUCAUGCAUCUGCACCAGAUGAGUUGUUCCCAUAGAUAUCUGUUGGCACAAUCUUCAAUGGUCUUUGUUUCUCGUACUGAGAAUACAAUGCAAAAAAAAAUUAUUGUUAUUAUUGGCAGGAAGUAAAACCACAAAAUAAUGAAAAAUGGGAGCAUGCCAGGGUACAAACGAGAAACUCCUUAGCAUGGGAAAGAAAAACUUUUACCUUCUUGAGGAAAGCAUCGAUCUCCUCCUUUGUCAGAGCUUCCUCCCAAGCAUUUUUAUCCCAUCCAAGAGACUGUAAAAAAGCUUCUUCUUCAGGGUCAACAACAGCGUCUGAACAAGGAUUAGUUUCUCCAUUGUCAGUAUAAAAUCUUGCAGACCCAUCAGAGGCACAUGAAUCUCCAUUCAAACAAUUGCCGAUCUCUGUUGGAUGAUCCGAUUCAGAUACUGGUUUAAGGUUGUUAUUUUCCAUAUUGUCAGCAGAUGUGAUCUGCAGGUUCUCUGCUUCUGGCCUUUCCAAAAUUGACACAGUUUCAACAGAGCUUGGUUCUGGAAUAGCACUUGAGCUUGUUGAUGAUUUCUUCCUUAGUAAAUUGAAGAAAUCAUUUCUGUUCUGAGCUUGAGAAAGGACCUUUCUUUCCCCGGUGGAGGGAUGAGUUAAGGCACCAUUCUUGUCAGCUUUAAGCUUUUGGUCCGUCAGGUUCUUCAUAGGAAGAGUUGCAGCAGAUGGUACUAUGCCUACGGGGUUCAUCCCUUUGCCAACACUUGGGCUAUCUUUGGCAGCAGGGAAGACACCAUUCUUCUCUCGGUUAAGAACUUGAAAAUUUCCCACUUGAGAUGUCUUUUGAAUAUCUGAUCUAGCUGGUACGCGGACAGUAUGAUUAACAUGUGACUGCUGGCCAGUCUUGGUGAGAGAACUGAACUCUCCGCCUCUUGCAACUUUUGAUUUUGUCUUUUCUGAUGGGUUGCAACUCUGAAGCAUAUACAAGAUCAUGAGCAAACCAACUUUCAGAAUACAUAAUAAAAGAGUGAAAAAACAGUCAAAAGUUUAUCGCCUUCACAAAUUACGAACACAUAAAAGAAAAUGUGGAAAAAGAACAGGCUGCAAAACCAAAACACUCAAACUCAAGUAUAAAUAACCAUAACAAACAUCUUUGGUUUAGUAGUUGCUCAUACAUCCAAUUUGAAUUUAACAAAAGAAUGAAAUAUAAAGACACGAGGCUAAUAUGUUGGAGUACAUCAUAUAGUUACAAAAUGUAUAUCUAAUUGCAGUCUCACCUCAAAACAAUAUCUACAAACAUGCUAUUUCAAAAUGCUUGUCAACACAUACUAGCUAUUUAUAGGAUAUCGAUACAUUUGACACUUCUCAAACAUGCCAGAUACUUCAUAGAAAUAUCCAAUUGUUUAAAUAAUUACUUAGGAAAUCAUACACUAGGAAAUACUUUUACAUACCAAAGAUAAUAACUUUGUUCCUCUUGAAUAUAAUCUUCCAAUAACGGACAAGAUGGAUAUAUGACCUGAGAUGCAUUGUAUAAUGUCAUUCAUGUUGAGAAUUAUAUUAUAAGCAAUAAAACUGACGAAUUUGCCUUCUCAUGGGACGAUUCUUAGCUCCUUUGAUGUUUGUUUGAGCAUUGUGUCAGUAAAUAACUUCUUUCACUGCAACCCUUGCUAUCAUACAUAUUCUCACCCUCAAAACAAGCAACAACACUUGAAAAUAUUUAUUAUACAACCGAGUACCACAUUCGAAGGACCCAAUUUUCAUUUUAUCAGGUUCUCAAAACAAACCAAGAGAAAAAGAAAGAUCAAACAUAAUAUAUUCUCAUUCAUGUAUUUGUGUCAUAUUAUAUCCUACUUUUCAAGAUUUUACAUACUAAUUUUCUAUAUAUUAUGACAAAUAGGUAUUACAUAUUCUUAUACAUGAUUCAUACAUACACUACUGCUUUCCCUUUAUCUUAGAUAUCUUAAUGAAAAAUUUUUAUCACAACCAAGUUGGUAUUCUAUAAAAGUGCUAGUUGAGGAUGAGAUUAAUUUAGCUUCAAAAAAAUCACAGCUGAUGAUAGUUCUUUUCUGAGACAUCCCAAAGCUCGUCCUAUCAUUCAGCUUAUGGAGGGGUAUCAUUAUUUUCUUACUGCUUGUAACCAACUAGAGCAUAAACAUACAUUCAAACUCUACCUAGAUCUUCCUUCAGGACUACAAUCAUUAGAGAACAUACUCAGGUCAGUUACUUUUUGUCCAAUGGACUUGCUAGGUAUUCUAUUAUGACAUCUGUAAAUGACUCCAAUGCUCCUGAUUUCCAUUCCUCCCACAGUAGAUUUAACCAUGAUAUCAAUUACUUCGCAGAAAUGGAUCAGAUCAAUCCGGCAAGGGUAGAAUUUGAUUUUAAACUAUAGUCAGUUUUCCCCUUUCCACUAGCCAGAGGAAUCUUAAUCAACUGCCCCAUCAAAGAGAAACUAGAUUCUCGACUUUUAAUAAUGUGCUGUAACGAAGCCAAGGAUUCUAGAUGUAGUGAAUAUGACAUUUUCUAAGUGAAAAUUAUUUAAAUAAUGUAUCCUUCACCUGAUAAAUUCUUUCUCUUUUAGUUAUUUAGCUUAAUAAUGGACAACCUUCUGCUUCCAAAUCCAACAAGUCAGAAAAAGUAAACCUACAAUAUUCAACAUGAAGGGCUUUCUUUCUCUGGAAGCCAUGGAAACACAAAAGAAAAUAUUUGAAUCACUCAUCUUCUCAGGUAAAAAUGAUCUUCUUAUCAUAAAUACUUAAUAUGAUGCCCUCUUCUAAUAAACUACAGCUAGUUCUCUUGUAAAGGAGUGGUCAUAUUAAAUGGGGUUAUAUUACCGUUUAGUAGUGCUCUAAGUAUGCUAUGAAAUAUGCACAUUAUGGAUAACUAACUUAAUAUCAUAAACAGUAAAACUGCAUAAUUCUCAGCACCCAAAGAACCUACUAUUUUUAAGAAAACAAUAAGAUGAGAUUAUUGUGAAAUGCAAGGAUUGAAAGGAUACACAUUUCCUGUCUUGUCCAUGUCAAGUGAGGUGGGAAAACAUAUAGAAAAAGUAAAGACUAGCAAUUCUCUUUUCAACAGCCCCUAUUGAGUUUAAACUGCUAAUCAUAGACAUCAUCGCUUUUACUUAAAUCGUUAUGUCUUCCAUUUUCUCCAAUCCACCAGAACAAUUCAACUACUUAUAAACUUCAUAGGAACCCAUAUCCUAUCAACAUUGCAAUAGAUGCACAUCAAUAUAUAAACUUAUACCUGACAGUACUACUAAACAUCCUUGGAUAAAGUAUAAAUCAAGAGUUAAGAACUUGCAAUUGACAAAGAAAUAGAAUGGACAUGCAUCACCCUCUCUUCUUUUUCCCCCCUGAUUUUUCAGUAUUUUGAUAGCUUUUUUCUGAUUGGUAUAGGUCAGCACACCAUCAGAAUGCUGAUAGCGUACCAAUCUGACAACAGGCUGAUACAGUUCCAGUAACAAAAUUAAAAAAACACACUGUAAAUAAUGUAAAAAUAUAGAUAUAAAAUUUGGAAACUUAAGGCAAAACUACAUAAAAUAUGUAGGAUGUGUUGAUGUUUCAAAAAGAAUAAAAUACAUAAAAUAGAUGUGAAUAAGUUAUGGAGUCUUAUUGUAAAUUUAAAGGCCAAUGAAAAAUGAGCCAAUAAAAAGAAUAAUAGGUUGCAUCUGCUAAAGUUAAGGAUCUAAUUUGUGCCUUCCCUUGAUGUACAAACUUCCCCUUCUACUCAGAUCCAGUCUGUAGCUUUUACGGAAAAGUAUUUCUACAAUUGCAUAAAUAAACUGCAACAAAUAUCUUAAUCAUUCUACACUCCAGAUGGAUUUGGAUGAUUUGUUCCAGUUGUCUAGAUUGAAUUGUUGACAGAACUUUUUAUAGUCAACCUUAUAUUUGCCAGAAUCAGCCAGAAGCAACCAGAAAUGACACUCUAAUGGUUGAAAACCAGCCUAAUAAGCCAAAAUUGAUCAAAACCACCAGAAUGAUCAAACACAUGAGACCAGCAAAACAAUACUUGUACAUGAUAAAGAACGGUACUAUCCUUUUCCUUUGAAUAAAAAUACAAAAGAAAAAAAAAGUUUACUUUUCUCAAAGGAACAUAUUUGAAAAGAAAAGGAUGUUAACCCUCACAUCAAGGUUUCAAAUGCUGGUCAGAAUGGUCAUACCAAACAGCGUCAAGAAUAAUACCGAGUGAUACAAAUCAGUAUAUUGACCAAUUAACUGGUAUCAUAUUGAUCCGACUGACUGAAAUUGGUACAAGACCAAGAGUUAAUCCUUGCCUAAGGCCAUACAAGAUAUUAGAUCUUCUCUUUUGUACACUUUAAUAGAUAAAUUAUUGAAUGUUCAACUGUGUCUUAAUUUGGUCCUUUUGCAUAAAAGUAAGUAUAGCAUUUGCUCUAGUUAAUCUCAGUUUCAAUAGGAUGAACUGGAGACUAUCUGACAAAAAUAAGAAUCAUGCAUCAUUAUAUCAAUAACCCUCUGAUCAGGGACCCUAAAAGAAUUUUCUUAAUGCUAACUUGUAAAGGAGCUUUAUUUCUCAUACUUCAGAAAUAGGAGCUUUAUUUCUGAGACUUCAGAAAAACAAAAAAGUACCCACCACAACCAUCAAAUUCAAAUUAAGAUUGGAACAUUGUGAUUAAAUAGGACAGGACAUUGGGAUAGAAAGGAAAACCCACCAAACAAACUUUUUAGAAAAAGGAAAACAAACCCUAAAUACAUUGCAUCCAUUUAGCAUCCAUUUCUGAAAGUUCAUCAUAAUGUCUUCUAAAAAGCUAUUCCAUUACAACCGACUGACAUAACUUCCAGAGGCCAUGUCAGUGUACAACAAAAAAUGCCAAAAGCUACAGUCCAAAGAUCAGAAUCACCUAAAGUCCACCUUAAAUGUAAAAUUGAAAUGAGGUAUAUGAAAAUAAACAAUGAAUAUUUGAAGUUGCACACCUUAGCACCCAAAUUUUGUACAUCACAUCAAAUGUAUAACUGCCUUUACAGAAUAUAUUUCCUAUGUCAGAAGCACCACAACAUCAUAAUUUGAAUGUUUGUGUUUUCUGAAUUCACCACAAGCUUCAUCAUGCAGCACAUGUCAUGGUGUACUAUAUUGAAACUUAAAUCUAAACUCUUAUCCUACUUUACAUUUCUGCAAGAAUGAAAAAUAAGAACUACCUUAUAAUCAAAUUCAAUGAUAUGAAACAUUUCUAAUCUUAUGUGGGAAAUAUUUAUCUAAGAGCUCUUUAGUAAGGUCAGUCAUGAAGCUUAAAAACAGAUCCUUCUCAUUAGGGAACUCAAGCACCAAGAAACAUGAUAAAGAAUCAAUAUAUACAUAGUCUAAAAUAAAGAAACCAUAUCUUGCCAAGAAUCAAGGAAGUGAUCAUACUGAUGCUUUAGGCAUUGAAGGAGUCAUUGGUAUUAGUUGCUUGCACUUUUUAAGCGUAAGUUCCUCAAUCCUCUGAGUGUCAACAGAUAACUGUACAUAAAUUAUACAAAAAAAGCACCAUGUUAAUAAAAAAACCCUCAAAAGAGAAGAAACAAUAUCUUAUCUCAUUCUAUAUAUUACCUGAGGUGUUUUAACAACUUGGGAUGCUGGCUGAGCCAAUGCCUCUGCCAUGUUUAAUCCUGUCAUGGUGCUUCCUGCUGCAGAUGCCUGACUAAUAGGAGCACCUUGUAGAAUGGGAGAGAGAACAGCUGCACUAGUUUCAACUUUUACAGGUACUUCUGCCAGAGCUGAAGUUCCAAUUAUGAUGGGAGAACCAGUGGGAAGACUCUGAACUGCAGUUCUAAGACCAAGAGGUGAUACACCAACUGCAUCUGAAAGACCUUGCCUCCCUUCAGCUCGAAGGGAUGGAAAGUCUCUCUCAAAGAAGGUUUUGCUAAUACUUCCAACAGCACUUUCUCCAGAUGGAGCACUGUUAUUUGCACUGCUUCCAACUCUUUUGGGCCAGGAGUCGACUGGCCUUCCGGCUAUCAUAGACUGGGAGCGCCUCAAGGCAUCCUUUUCAGACCUAACUCCCAGAAAUGAAUCAAGAUGGUCGAGUCCAUUGUCAACCAAAACUGACCUAUUUUUCCUAUCACAGGAAUCAAAAUCCCUCUCCUGGUUUCUAUCACGAGACCUUCGAAAACUACUGUAAGCCUGUGACUUACCAGAGCUACCUUUAUCGCGACUUACAGAACCAUUAGAGCUCAAACUCCGCCGCAAGUUCCGAUCUUGGUCUGCAAAUAAUAUAUUUCUUGAUCCAACCCCGACACCAUUUUCAUCUACGGGAAUUCAAACAUUGCAUUAGAAGAAAAGAUUGUUACAGUCAUACCAAUAAAAGAAAAUUUCAUAAAAAAUACGAUUAGAAUUAUAAUGGCUGUAGAGUAACGCAUACCGGAAUGUCUAGAAGAGCUUGUUCGCAGGGAAUUGUUGGAGGUGCUCCCAUUUGCUAAUUUGUACCACUGUGGAACCAAUGCUGGCUCACCUCGCUCCAUUGUCGGAGCAGACCAUUAUCAAUAUACAGUUAAGACCCUUUGCCUCUGGAUCCAAUUGUAAAUAACUUAUAUAUAGAGUGUUAUUUCCUGUACAAAGUAUGUUCUCAGAAGAUGCCCAUCGCACUAAUUGGCCCAAGAAAGGGUGAAGCUUGUGAUUACGCUGCCGCCAUGAUCUCUAAAUUAGCAUCAUACAAGUACAAGAUUUAAUCUGCCAAAAAGAUCUAAACUGUGCAAAACCCCUCCAGUCAAAACGCAGAAUCUGCCUGAGUUUCAACGCCUUUCUCUCCGCACAUAAUCAAGAUUUACGCGUUUGAAGCAUCCACGAUCGAAAACCAGGCGAAGACGGCUCCCCGGGAAACCGUCAAAUUAACAACUCAAAGAACGCACAUGAAGAUAAGAACCCUAAUGGCCAAGAAAGGGCAAGCAUCCAAGCAAUGAUGAAUCCCAAAAAACGACAAGCGCUCGGGAUCGAGAACGGCAAACCCUAGACACCAAACAAAGGGGUGGUCGAGGAAGCGAAAAAAAGACUCCCCACUCCAAGAUUACCGGAAAUUUGCGAUGAGCUCGAACCCUAACAGACUUCAGGUUGGUGUUGCGAGAAGUAAUCCGAUAAGAAGACAAGACAAACGGAAAAGGGCCGAGUGACAGAGAAAUCUUAUGGCGGAGAGAGAGGAAUCCAACGAACAAUAACUCGAUUCGAUCGGUUCGGCGGCGGCGGCGGCGGCGGCAAGAAGGGAGAAAUGCGUGAUCUAUGUAGGAAUUGGAGGAGGAGGAAGCGGGGAAUUGCUUGGUUUCUUCUCCUUUCGUCGUGUGUCAGUCGAAUCAAAAGAACGCUCGCUCUCGCUCGCUGUGUAUUGUGCUACGGUUUCGGUGGCUCGCUUUGCUGCAGUUGCGGUUUCCUUCGGCUUGGGAAAACCUACGAUGAUGAUGGCGAUGAUGGUGGGUAUGCGUACAUAACUUGCCUUGUGGGCUCGUUAGGGCGAGACACACCCGACGCCUUUAAUUGGAACACAGCGAAAUCAAAGAUCACGGAGGCCGUGUGGCUAAAGAAAGAUUUGAAUGUGAUUUAUCUCUUCUAUGUAAAUACUUGCACCGGGUCGAUCGAUCACGACCGUCGAUUAGGGUGCACUUCCAUGGGCCGAGUUGGGUGGGCCAAGUAAUUGGAGACGCCUGGCUUAGGAUUGGGGUUAAUUGGCCUGCACGAACCAUGAUGGAACUCCGGGGAACAUGUUGAGUUUAGUGGGCCACUGUACUUUGGGGACCAAACAUCUGCAUUAAAACUCGGCUGACCCAUUUUGAUCAUCAUUCAUAAGUUUGUCUAGUAAUAUUCAUUAAAUUUGCAACUCAUAUCCAUCAUUAUUUUCGAUCAUCAAAACUCAUAUCCAAUAUAAUAAAAUCAUCAACUUGCUCCUUUGAGUAAGUUGAUCAUCCACAUAAUCUUUUUGAAAGAAUGGGCUAAAACAGAAUAUGAGCAUAGUUUGUCAUCAUAAAAUUAUGACUCUUAUACCACAUCAUCUCAAAAAACAAUCAACUUUUUUCCAUUUUGAAACACAGCAACACUCAAAGAUCAAUCAGGUCAAAUCAUAUAUAUCACAGGAUUGACUGUAUCAACAAUACAUAACAUCACAAGAACAUUGGCUGUAUUAUUGUGAGAACACCACACUGAACAAGAUUAACAAUUGUUAUAAGUUAGACAACAAGAUCAAGAAUUCUUCUCGGAUUCCUAUAUAAUAAAUAGGAAACUACAUUGAAACACAUCAUUAGCAUAAAUAAUAUCUCUAGAUAAUCACCUGAUACAUCUUCACCAACGGAUGGGCCCCACUGCCCAGCAAAACAUAAAGGAGGAGGACAACUGUUUUCAUGAGACAUAAUUACAAUUCCAACAUAUCUCAGUCUUCAUAACCCAAUGCCUGAAGUCCAUAAAGCUAACUUCUCAGAGAAGUGCACCUUCCAGUCAUAGAUUGAAGCAAAUGGCAAUAAACCACCUGAUGCGGGAAGAACCAGCAGCAGAAGAGCAUAGAAUGUAAAUCUUCUUAUCCGAUACGGUAACUUGAUUGAAUUGGCUCCUUCCGAGAUGGACACCGGGCCAUAAAGAACAUGGUAAGAUGCAGAUGGGAACACAUUGACAAUGAAGUGGAGCAUGCACAGUGCUUCCCAAUAAAUUAGCCAGUGGUAUCCAUUUCCACCUAAUGUGUCAAUGCAUAGCUUACCAGAAAAGCCACAAAGAGCACCUAGUAGCAGAACAAUAAAUGUCACAGGCAUAGUUGUAGCUGACGUUGCGGACCGUUGGAAAACCACAAAAGCCAUUGCUAAAAUCAUUAAUAUUCCAAAAGACACACGGGCUAGGGCCACAAAUUGACAUUUCAGCACCAGCCAGCCUGAACUAAAAGAUUUCACCGUAUUUGGAAUCCACCAAGAUCUGGACUCCUGAAAAGUAACAACCAUUCCACUAAGUUUCUGAUUCAUAAAACACCAGCACACAAGUCAAGAACAUCAAAUGAGCUAGGAUGUACCUUAGGGGCAGAAGUGCAGGCAGAUGUGACCUCCGUGAUACGUUGAUAAGAGUAGACGGAUGCCCCAUAUACAAUCAAGCUGCACAUGAUAAUCAACCCAGUGAUUAGGAGAUCCAUGCAUAUUUUCAAGAGUUGUGCAUUCAUGGUCUCCUGCAUUUGAUUCCUUAAUUUCGCUUCUUUAAAGGAAGCCUUUGAGAUACCCAUUGAUAUCUUAAACUUCUCUAAGAAAUUUGCAUCAGAACUAAGAGCCAGCUGAGCUUCCUUCAGUUGCAACUUUUUCAUGACCAGACCUAUCUCAACCGCCUUGAGGUCAUUAGAGCGAGUCUGUUCAAUAACAGAUUUCUCCACUGUACUCAGAAUAGACUGACUGAACCCAAGACCAUAUGUGGUACGAUUAACAUUUGCAAGAUCCUUAUUUGUAUACCCGUGAAGAAUGAGUUGACUGUUCACAGAAUUCGAUAUUAUAUUUUCUUCCAAAUCUUCAGUGGUCACGAUGGGUUCAGAGCUGCUUAAGUCAGCUGUAUUUUCACUACUGUUGCACAGGAAUGAACUGCAAUCAGUAUUUUCUUGCUUAUUAAAAGAAACUUCGUUAAUCAAACCAAGGGUCUUCAAUGUACUCUGAAAUGACUUAUCAAAGUUUCUUAUGAAACAAUCAAACUUGUUUCCAUAUACCUGUUCAAAAUUAAGAACAGAAAGUUCACAAAUUUGAGAACUUGCAGCAAGAGAAAAUGAUAGAUUUAGAGGCAGACUUACAUUUGUUAUAGAUUCUUUCACCGCUGAAGUACAGACCUGCAGACAGCAGUAUAUCCAUAUCAGACAAUUAUAAAACCUCUGAUAAUAUGAAUCCCAGAUGUCUGAAGUGUACCAUUGAAAGGCAAUCUAUUUGUAUCCUAUCUCCUGUGAUGUUCUUUCCAUAUAAAACCUGAAACCAAGAAAUUCCAUACAUCAACGAAAUGACCACUUAAAUUAAAAAGUAGAUAUACUUAAUUUUUUAAAAAAUAACUCAAUUUUUUAACUAUUCCUGUGGCUAGCAGAUAUGCUUAAUUUCCCUAUGUUCACAACAAAUCUCUUUCCAGUUAAAGUUUUACUUGUCAUGCAAUCAGCUUGGUCGGCAGAUACAUUCUCAACCUAUAAUAAUCAUUAAACUAAUUUAGAAAACAAAAAAAAGCAUCCCAGGAUCAAUUGUCAUACAUGAACCAGAUGAUCAAAGAAGCAACAAAUUUGAUGUAAUAAAAAAAAUGUAUGACUAACAUGAAAAUCAAACUGGUACCUUUCCAUCAUCAUUAACCUUCUAGAAAAUGCAAUCAUUCUUGGUACACAAAACUUAAUGACAUUACUCAUGCAUGAGGCAUGUCAUUCUUGGUCCAAUUGAUUAGAGAUGAUAAUGAAUUCACUUCGGACUAUGGUCGACAUAAUUUCAUUAUUUUGCUGUGACUGUUGGCAGGGAAAGUAGAUGAAUCAGACUCUUUAUUGAAAUCAAUCCCAUGUGGGGGUACAGUGAGUGUCGGAAUUCGCCCGUGGUAGAACUCGUUAACAUUCAUGUGUUGAAAAUUGAUACUUAUUUUCAAAAGAUCUCUGAAACUUGGAAAAAAUUGGGCUUAUUGAUUGAAUUUUCCAAGACCUGUUUUAGCUAGUAUAAAUUUAAAAACAGAACUCAUUUGAGCUAUAAAUGGAACCUCUCCAUCCAGUAGGCAUUCCUCCUCCCACCCGUAGCAAUUACAAGUGGAUUCACCAGUGGGGCUUUUCUGGUCAGAAGGUAGCUGACAGAUGGAAAUUUGGGGUCAGCAAUUGGGGCUCAACUUUCCUUCCCAUCUGCCUCUGCCACUGCUCCAUCUCUAAACAUGGAGCUCUCUUAGAGCCCCACCCACCCAGCUCCUGCCACUUCUUCAUCU
rnacentral:lncRNA from 1 species